UUUUAGGUGUGCAUGUAUGAUGUUAAUAUUAGCCAACAAUUUCCCACCUGGGCUACGCACAUACACAUACUAAUUAACUUAUAAUUACAUGCUUUACUAGAACUACAAAAUGUGCAAUUGUAUACAAUCGUAAUAAGUAAUAAAGUGAUAAGUAUAUCGAGUUAUCGUCUCCAUAAGGACUGUACAAGAAAAUAUUUAUGAAAUAUUGACUUAAGUAAAUUUGGGCAAGAGAUGGAUGGUUUUGGGCUGCUCCUUGGGCUCAUGCUUCUUCCUUCCUCAAUUGGUCCUUCCUUUCACAUCAGGCUGUCUAAAUUUAUAGACCCAAUUAUUAAUCGAAUCAAACUAAUUGUUUAGAGAGUCCAAAUAUGUUAAUAUGGGACAUUCAUGGCUGUAAAUUCAUCAAAUAAUGCUUUAGAGAUGCUCUAGCAAUUUAAUCUUCCCAAGGUGACUUCAAGGCUGAUUUUACUUCCAUUACACAAAACUACUAAAAAUAGGCAGAAUUCCAUAAGUUUAAUAUUAAAAGCUAAAAAUCAAGAUGUGUCUUAAAUCAUAUCCAACUUAGUUAUUUUACAAUGAAAGCACAAAAUCCAAUAAAAAAUAGUUAGAAUUUUCAUGAAUUAAUGCCUGAAGGUGCUGAAAAGUUUAUAUAUUUUAGUGCUUCUACACCCCUAAACUUAAUUCAUUGCUCAUCCCGAGGAAUGCUUGACUUACGAAGAAUUCAAGAAAAUAACCUUUCAAAAAUCAAUCCUUCCCAUAAUUAUGAGUUUAAUACAAUUAUGCUCAAGAAUAAAAAUUCUAUAAUUAUGCAACUCAAGUGUACAUAUCAUUUAAUUAUUCUCAAAUAUUAUCAUGAUAGCAAAAAUAUAGACCACAUGCUUUCUCUUAAUAAUUAUGUACUUAGUUUAUUCCAAUAAACUUUUGCUCCCUUAAUUUAAACUAAGUUGCACUCCUUAAGUUUAAUUAUGCCUUCUUAAGUUGAGCUUAGAAAUAUCUCUCCACUAAUGUAGUUGGCAUAGAAAUCUAAAUCAAUAGGUCAUUAAUAUGGUUGUAACGUGGCUUGGCUAGAGGUAGGUAAAAGAUAGAUAAUGUAGGCUAAAACCCUAGACUUAGCUUGCCUUGAACCUUCGAAAUACAAAUGCCCCAAAAUCACCUGCUACUUUUGAAUUUGAGUACACAUGCUCUCUGUACAUCUUUAUUUUUUAGUACAUAUGUUAUCUCUCUCUUUUUUUUAACAAACUUGAGCAUACUACUACAUGCACUUCAACAUUUUGAGCCUUUAGUACCACUUCUUAAUUCCCCCAAGCUAAUUCUAUAAAUAUUCUAAAUAAACUGAGUCUAGUGUUUGGGAAAAUUUAAAGAUAAAUAUUGCUUAUUAAUAUAAGAUCCAGAAAAAAAUUAGGCCCUAUAGUCUCAAAGUUGAGUUUCAAUGGAUAAAUAUUCAUUAAGGUUGGCUUGGAAGGUUCAGAUGGUCCAUUUUUUUUUUUUUGCAUAAAUCAUUUUCAAAUUAUCAUGCCUCCUAGGAUUUUGCCUCAAGAAAUUACUAAGUCAAUUCUAGAGACUUAAACUUUCAUGCAUGCUUAGUUUUUCUAAGAAAUUAAAUUUUUCAUGGCUUAACUUAUACAUUUUUAUUAAGACCAACAUUUAUGUCAUAAUUUAGCUAACAUAAAAAUUAUUGAGAUAAUAGAAUUUUAUUUAUAUUAAAUUUUAACAUAACUAAACAAAAUUUUAAAUUUUUUGAACAAAAAUUUAACUUAAUAAUUUGAUAAGAAAAAUAACUUUUUGAAGAAAAAAGAAAAAUUCAAUUUUUGGUCCCCUCUCUUAAAAAUAAAUAAUGUCCUCAUUGUUUGAAAUUAAAAAAGUGAAUGUGAACUAUACACCAGGUAGGAUCCCAGGAAAGGGGGGUGAGUCAAAUUUGACUGCUUAAAUACCAAGCCUUUCCUUAACAGAUCCAAUCUUAAACAUGUAUUGAUGAAUGCCAAAAGUAACAUGUUUUAGCCUCACUGCUAAUGCGUUUUUGGAUGAUUAUUUGAUUUAAAAUGCUGAAUUUUAUGCUUCAAAUCCUUUAAAUUCAUGUUUCUAUACUUAGGAAAGUAUUUUGGAGCAAAAGGAGCAAAUAACAAGCGAAAAUAAAAAAUCGGAGCAAGUUUCAGGAGCCACAUGGGCUGGGCCAUUCCACACAGGCUAGACACAUGGCUAUGUGCCAGAUCUUGUGGAAAUCACAUAUUGCACUCCAAACAUGUAGAAAAAUGCAAUUUUUAGGUUCUUUGGGCAUUCUAAGACCUAUAUAUGACAAAGAUAAGAAGAGAGAAGAGAGCCUUCAUAGGAUACUAAAGAAAACAAAUCAAAAAACACCAUUGAAGUCAACCCUGAAGUUGAUUUUCAUCAAGAUUGAGAUCUCCUCUUAAUUCCUUUGAAGUUUAUUAUGGGUUUUUUUUCUUUCUUGUGGUUAUACUGUAUUUUUGAUGUUUUUAUUUGCGAUUAUAAACUAAUUUUCUAAAUACUUAGGGGAGAUGAGCCCUAUGAUAAUUAUGUUUUUUGAUUUCUAUUUUAUGCAAUAAAUGCUUGAAUCUUGUUUCCAAUUAUGUGUGCUUAAUUCUUGGUUUAAUAUUUCCAGACUAUUAAUCCAUAUUUGAUAUGCUUAAGUCAGAGGGUGAAAAGUCCUUGUUUAAGAGUGAAUCUAGCAUAUUUAAGUGAAGUUGCAUGCAAUUAUAGAAAUAGGAUGACAUAAAUCUAUCAAAUUAGAGUAAAAUCUAAUAAGGGGAUCCAUAGAUCGAGUUAAUGCGACAAUAGGGGUUUUAAUUAGAAAGAAAUUUCAAUUAAUCAACCUAGAGUCAGUUGCUAUUACUCUUAAAAAAGAUAUUAGCAUAAUUUAGGCAUUCCUACGAAUCAAGAUACUAAGUGAAGAAAUUGUUUAAUCCAGUUUGAUACUGACAGAUAAAAUCUAGGUGGAUUCUUUCUUGGGUAUUGUUUCACUUCUUGGUUGUUAAUCAUUUGUUUUCCUAAUUCAUUUUUUGUCGUGUUCUUUAGUUAAUUAAUUUACUUAAUUUUAGUUUUAAUCAGUCUCUUUAAUUUUUCGGUUAAAUAAUAGAAAGACGGUAAUUACUAGUUCUUUUAGUCCUUGUGGGAACGAUAUCUUUACUCACCAUAACUAUACUAUUAAUUGAUAGGUGCACUUGCCAUUGUCAGAUUUUUAGUUGGUUUACGACUGCAAUCAAGUUUUUAGCACUGUUGUCGAGGUCUAAAAUAUUAGGAAAACUUUAUUUUUAUUAAUUUAACCAUUUUUAAUUUUAAUUUUAAUAUUUUUGUUUUUAAUUUAAUUGUUACAUUUUACUUCUUCUUUUGUUUAAUUUUGACAAGUUUUAGAGAUGGAUUAUGAUAAAAAUAAUCAGAAGCUCUUGAACGUCCUACUCCUCGGACUAUGAAUGAUUAUGCCAAGCCUACUCUGAUCGGGGUUGAAUCGAGUAUUUUCAGAUCGAUUGUUAAUGCAAAAAAUUUUGAGAUUAAGCUGAACACAAUUUGUAUGGUGCAGCAAUUUGUUCAGUUUGAAGGGUUGCAAGAUGAAGAUCCGAAUGCUCAUUUAACCAAUUUUCUAGAUAUUUGUGACACUUUCAAGAUUAAUAACAUUAUUGAUGGUGGCAUACAUUUACGGUUGUUCCUAUUCUCUUUGAGGAGCAAGGCAAAAUAGUGGUUAAAUUCAUUGCCACGAGGUUCUAUCACAACUUGGGAUCAGAUUAUCGAGAAUUUUCUGUUGAAGUACUUCCCACCGCUAAAACAACUAAGUUGAGAAAUGAUAUUUCUUCUUGUACUCAAAUUGAUUUGGAGACAUUAUAUGAUGCAUGGGAGAGAUUUAGGGAUCUUUUGAGAAUGUGUCCUCAUCAUGAAUUACAUUUGUGGUUGCAAGUUAAAACUUUCUACAACGGUUUGAAUCUCUCGACUAGGCAAUUAAUUGAUGCAGUAGUUGGUGGAACACUGAAUAAUAAAAAACUCUAGAUAGCUCAAGAAUUCAUUGAGGAAAUGACACUAGAUAACUAUUAGUGGCAAGUCAUGAGAAUGAAAACGAAUAAAGCAACCGGUGUUUUUAAUAUUGAUGCAGUUUCUAUAUUAGCAAAUUAGGUUGAAACUCUUGGUAAGAAAUUUGAUGGUUUGAAUUUUUCUAAGCAGGUGAACCUAGUAAUGCAAUACGAUGAGAAUGGAGCGGGGAUGAUUAAUUCAGAAUGGUUACGCUUCGGUUCUAGCAUGGAGCAUGAGCAAGUCAACUUUAUGGGUAACAAUUCUAGGCCUCAAAAUAACCUUUAUAGCAACAACUAUAAUGCAGGUUGGAGGAACUAUCCAAAUUUCUCUUGGGGUGGUCAAGGAAAUCAAAGGUCACAACGCUUUGGAUUUUCAGCAACCUUAUCAUCAAGAGAAUAAAUUGAACCUUAAGGAAAUGUUGGCUAAAUUUAUUUCGAUGUUAGAAACUCGAUUUCAAAACACUGAAACAACACUAAAAAAUCAACAAGCAUCAAUUCAUGGGCUUGAAAAUCAAAUUGGACAGCUUGUUAAACUUGUUUCAGAAAUACCACAAGGUAGCUUACUUAGCAAAUUGAAACUAACCUAGAAGAAGAAAUCCAUGCAAUCAUUGUUCGCAAUGUGUAACGCCCCAAAUUUCUUAUGUCAGCUUCUGUAAAAAUUUUGACACAACUGUGCAUCUGCUUCAGUGGUUAAGUGUUCUGGAUGUGUGUGAGAGGUCUUGGGUUCAAGCCUUACCUUUAGCAAAUUUUGUUAUUUUUUUUUAAAAUUAGGCCUUACUCUUGGUAAGUGGUUUUAUUUUUAAUUGUUGCUAUUGGGUGUCAGAAUGGACAUGCUAUCGAUGUAAGCCAAAAAACACUGUAUGAGCCACACGGGCUAGGCCAGAUUGGACGUGUAGGCCCAUAUGGGCACACCACACGGACGUGUGAUAACUGGGCAAGGCCAAUCUGGGCGUGUGGGCCCAUUAGACUGAAAUUUUUCGUUGGGUCACACUGGUCAUCGUAAUCGACUGUGGGCCUAUCGUAGGGUUGGUAAAUGCAAUCUAACCUUAUAACCAAAUGAUUUAUUAGACUGAAAUAUGUUUAUGAGCAUGCCUAUGUUUGUUUAUCUGUUAUCUAUUUAUGAAAGCAUGUUAACCAUGAUUUAUCUGUUAAUUUUGUAUGCGUGUUCUGUUACUGAAUUGGGGUGGGAUGAUGUAUAUAGGAGGAAGUGUUCUGAAAGGUAGAAUAUGCCUAAUAUCUGGCAGCUCGGCUGCAUUAUAUCUGAUAUGUGUCGUAUCGGUACAGCGUGGUGUGUAAGGUUGAGUGGGUGUUUUAAACCCCACAUAGUGGUAGGGAUGGUCGGAGAUGGUGUGUAAAAGAUGGCGGUAGGAUUCUGAUAUCUAAUUUGCAUAUCUAUAACUGUGUCUGCAUCUGAAAUGGGCUCAGGCCCAAAUCUGUAUCUGCAUCUGACAUGGGCCCGUGCCCGAAUAUGAAUCUGUCUGAUUUGUGGUAUUCUGUAUGUGUACAUGUUUAACUCUGCUGGGUUACACACUGAGUUUACGUAAACUUACCCAUUUUCUGUUUGUCUGUGCAGGUAACCCACAAUAUUAUGUGGAUCGGUACAGCGGAGGACUUAAAAGUGACCACUUAUUUUUACGAUUUUAUUUUAUUUUAUGGUUAUGAAGUUUUGGCAUUGAGGUUGUAUUUUCUGGACUCUUUUAAAUUGUUUGACGUUGGCUUUGGAUUUUUGGUUUUUACUUAUUUACAACUAUGAUGGUUUACCAAAGGCAAAGGUUUUCUAAAAUCUUGAAUAGAUUUUCUAGACCCAAUGAUUUUACAAGCUUCCGCUACUAAUACGUUUUAUCUCUUAAUGAUUAAAUGAAAGAAAGCUUUGAAAUUAAUAAUAGCAAUAAAGGCUAAUGAACUGGAAAGGUUUUAACUUAACGAUAAUGGUUUUUCAACUCAUUUCAUGUGAGACUUUAGGAUUCGGCCAUAACGUCUAGGCCGAGUUUGGGUGUUACAUAUAGUGGUAUCAAAGCCAGGUUACAAAACUCGACUGUAGAAUUUGGGUUUUCGAAAUUUGGUUUUAAAAAAUUGGUUUUUUGAAUGAUUUUUAAAACUCUGGUGAAGUGUGAGGUAUACUGAGUCUCUGGCGCCGAUCCUGCAAGUAAUUUGAAACUUAGAUAGAUUAUUCUGAAAUAAUGAAUAUAGUUAUUUUAAAAACACUAUAGUUAGUACUCUCUGAAACUGUAGUGAAACGAAUAAAGACUGAAACUUACGAAAAUCUUACUGAACUUCUGAUAUUUAUUACAUAAAAUAUUUGCUUAUAAAAACUGAAACUGAUGCAUAAAAUUAUUAAUGUAGAUAAACUUAGAACUUACAAUGAGCGCACGAGGUAUCUGUGGACGUGGUACUCAAAGCUGAGGUAGAGGCCGUAAGGGAGCUCUAGCUGAGUCUUCACAUCUGGGCAGUACGCCGAAUCUGGACACUAGUGAGACACCUGUGUCACUUGCUACUGAGAUUAGGUCUCAGAGUUGUUCGGUUGGGGAUGACGUACUGUCUCAAGCCAUGCUGAGGAUAUUAGAGAGGGUCGCUAGACCUAAUUCUAGAUCUGGAGGACAAAGGGCAGUAACUGAGGGGCUCCAGUCUAAUGGAGCUGAGUUAUUUAGGGGUGUCACAAGAGUUGCCCCUAAUGUGGCUGAGUUGGAGGCCACUAAAAGGAUUAUGGAUGACUUAGACUGUACUCUCGAGUAGAAAUUGAAGAGUUCAGUCUUCUUGCUUCUCGAUGAGGCAUAUUAGUGGUAGUCGACUGUUAAGGAAGGCACUCAACCUGAUCGUCUGACUUGGGAAUUCUUUAAGACCACAUUCCAGAGCAAGUAUGUAGAAGCUAGCUACGUCGAUACUUGUAGGUGUGAGUUCCUAAACCUCACACAAGGUAAUCGAUCUGUGGUUGAGUAUGAGGUCAAAUUUUUAAGGCUGAGCCGCUACGCUCGAGGCGUGGUAGUGUCCGAGUAUGAAAGGUGUGUUAGGUUUAAGGACAGCCUAAGGGAUAAUCUAAGGGUUCUGAUUACUCCGUAGAGGGAGUGUAAGUUUUCUGUUUUGGCAGAGAAGGUAAAGAUUGUCGAGGAUGUUAAGCGCGCAGAGCUCCAAAAUAGAAAUAGGAAGAGAGAUAAGAACAAGAGGGAUUUGAAGCCCUCGUGUUCUGUGCAGCGGCCUAAGAAAAAGGCCAGAUUUGAUGGGCCAGUUAUAGUGUGAGGCCCUGUUGCCUCUACUAGGUUGCUGCCUUAUGAAAAUUAUGGGAGAUGCCAUCCGGGCGAAUGCUAGAGGAGGAUUGGGGCGUGUUUGAGGUUUGGGUUUUUUGAGCACUGUAUCAGGGAGUGUCUGCAGCAGGUAGAUUAGACGCAAGCUCCGGAUCAUGUACAACCGUCGAGGGUAGUUCAGCAGCCACCUAGGGGUCGUGGAGCAAUUAGGGUGGUAACGGUUUGGGCUGAGGGAAGAGAGCACCGGGCUGAGACUCUAAUUAGACAGAGGCGAUGUAGCCUACUUUGGUUUAUGCUGCAUAUCGCCUAGAGGACAGAGAUACUCCUGACGUCAUCACUAGUACAUUUCUUGUAUUUGAUUAACCUUACUUUUCUCUGGUAGACAUAGGAUCUACUUAUUCCUAUAUGGUUUGUUCUAUUUCCGAAAAUUUGGGGCUAUCGAUUGAGAGUACUUCUAGUGAGGCUACUGUGAUAAGUCUGUUAGGGCAGUCAAUUUAGGUUAGUAAAUUGUAUAAGGAUGUCCUGUUAGAGGUGCAAGGGGAGAUAUUUCUGGCUAAUUUGAUGGAGCCUCUGUUUAGGGAGUUCGACCUAAUUCUGGGUAUGGACUGGUUGGUUAAACACCAAGUUAUUUUAGACUGUGUGGCUAAAAUAAUCGUUCUGAGGACUGAGGUGAUAGAGAAGUGAUGGUAAUCAGCGAGCAUCGAAAUUAUUUGUCUAACGUAAUCUCUGUGCUUAUGGCUGAGAAACUGGUCCAGAAAGGAUGUGAGGCAUACUUGACCUAUGUAAGUGUUUCAGAUUCUGGGGACUCUUCUAUUGGGAACAUCAGAACAGUAAAAGACUUUCUAGACGUCUUUCUUGAGGAGUUUAUAGGAUUACCACCGAAUUGAAAAGUGGAAUUUGGGAUUGAGCUUCUUCCGGAUACAACAUCGGUGUUCAUUGCUCGCUACCGUAUUGUACGGAAAGAGCUUACUGAGCUCAAGGCUCAACUACAAGAACUUCUAGACCAUGGCUUCAUCCGUUCUCGUGUCUCUGUGGGGAGCACUAGUACUGUUUGUUAAGAAGAAUGAUGAGACCAUGAGUAUGUACAUAGGUUAUCGGUAGUUGAACAAGCUGACCAUUAAGAAUAAGUAUCCACUUCUAAGGAUCGAUGACUUAUUCGAUCAAUUUCGAGGGGCUUCUGUGUUCUCUAAGAUCGAUCUCUGUUCAAGGUAUCAUUAGUUAGGGUUAAGGAGGCUGAUGUUCAUAAGACCGCAUUUAGGACUCGUUAUGGACAUUAAGAGUUCCUAGUUAUGCCUUUUGGUUUGACGAACGCUCCGGCUGUGUUCAUGGAUAUGAUGAAUCGAGUAUUUCAAUCCUAUCUGGAUUAGUUCGUCGUGGUAUUCAUUGAUGAUAUUCUGGUUUACUCUAAGAUCGAAGAUGAGCAUGACGUACAUCUUAUAGUAGUGCUUCAAGUUCUAUGUGAAAAGUAGCUCUGCUAAAUUCAGCAAGUACGAAUUCUGGCUACGUGAAAGUGACUUUUUUGGGGUACGUAGUUUCUACUGAAGGUAUUCAAGUUGAUCCUUGAAAGAUCAACGCUAUGUUGGAUUGGAAGCAACCCAAGAAUGUGUCUGAAAUCCGUAAUUUUUUGGGUCUGGCCGAUUAUUAUCGGUAUUUUGUGGAGGGUUUCUCCUUGAUCGUUGCUCCAUUGACUAAGCUACUGCGUAAGGGGGUUCCAUUUGUUUGGACAUGUUGAUACGUGAUAUUCGUGAUAGGUUUUAAAUAUUUAUAACAAAUUGUUCUUAAAACUAACUAUUAUCACGAUGAAGGCAAGUGUACCUAUCGAACAGUAGUAUAGCUUUAGCAAGACUGGUUUAUCGAACCCAAAGGAACUAAAAGUACUAGUAUUAACUUCCUUUUUAUUAUCUAGCCUAAGAAUAAUGAGGUUAGUUUUAACUAACUAAUUAACUAAACUGAGAAUUCAUAGAAAAUAAAAUUGGGGAAUUACUUUUGGAAAAACAAUUGAAUUAAGACAAUACCUAAGGAAAAAAUCCACCUAGACUUCACUUGUUAUUUGACUCUGAAUCGAAUGAUUUAUUCAUUCAACUUGUUCCAUAGAGAUCCCUAAGUUAUAUUAUUAUCUCUCUCGAGACUAACAACGUCUAACCCUAGUUUGAAUAAUUGAAAUCUCUUUCUAAUUAACGCCCUAGGGUUGCAUUAACUCGACCUAUGGAUCCCCUUAUUAGGUUUCACCCUAAUCCGGUAAAAUCUUGUCGCCCUAUCUCUAGGUGCACAACCAACUCCACUUAAUUAUGACAAAUUUACUCUUAGACAAGGUCUAUUCCUCCUCUGAAUAAGAGCUUAACUUGUAAUGCCCUAAUUUUCGGGAAUUCUGUGAAUGUUGGCAUAGGUUUAAUUAUGUCAGUGAGCCUCUAGAAGGCCCAAGCUUAAGAUAGAACCCGACAAUUUUAGUUAAUUUUUGUUCUAUAAGAAAAAGGGGGUGAAAUUAUGAAAUAGAACCUAUAUGAAAAUGUUUGAAAAUGCUAUCGGCUAAAUUGAAGUGGCCAAAUAAAUAGGAGUGCAAAAUAGGAGAAUUUACAUGACAAACCUCCCAUUUUACAUGAAGUGGCCAGCCAUCAUGUUGUUGUAGACAAUAUGAGCACUUGAUAUCCAUAAUUCAUGGUACAAAUUGAUAAUGGGUUAGGUAAAUGUUCCAUGAUAAUGGAUUAGGUAAAUAUUCCAUGAUAAUGGGUUAGGUAAAUGUUCCAUGAUAAUGGUUUAGGUAAAUGUUCCAUAAUGGGCAUUUCAUGUCUUUUGUAUUAAAGAAUUAAAUGGAUGAAAUAUGAAAUUUUAUUAAAAGAAAAAGGGGUGAAAAGAACAAAGUUUUGUUCAUCUUUGUUCAUCAUAGCCAAAAGUUAGAGAAGAGAAAGGAGAGGAGAAAGCUCUUGAAUGUUAGGUCACUUGGGGAAGAAAAUUGAAGGUAAGUUCAUGGUAGUUUGCUUCUAUCUUGAUGUUCAUGAGUUCUUCUUGAUUCUACCUUAACUCUUGAAGCAUAUUUUAGUUUUUAGUUGUGUUGUAAGCAUUUAGUCAUGAAUUAAAAUGAAGGAAAUGGUUGUUGUUUCAUGUUCUUUUGAUGAAAAAUGGAAGAUAUGUGAAGUUGAGCCAAACAAAUGAGCAUGCAUGUGCCUUAGAUGCUAAGGGGAAAAAUCGGCUAACCUGUUGUGCUUUAAAAUGAUGAAAUGGAGAUUAUACUUAAGUAAAAUCAUAGAUAUGUGAUGAUUGAUUGGUGAUAUACAUGUUUAAAUAACAUGCAUGCAAGGGAUGUGUGAAAGAGUGAUUUGGUAAUAAAUCUGCUUGGGACAACAGCAGUAACGUGAAUUUGGAAAAUCACCAUAAAUUGUGGGAGAUGAAUUAGAAGCUGAAUAAAUUAUGUAAUUAAAGCUUAUUGAGUCUAGUUUUAAAUGAAAUAAACAAGAACAUAUUUUUAAUUCUGUACAAUGAGAAAUUUGAUUUGUAAUGAAGAGUGGUCAGAUUAGUCAAACAGUGAAACAUGGGAAACUUUAAGAAAAAUAUAGUAUUGAUUGGCCAUACCAAAAAUUCUAAAAAUUUUAUGGAUAGAAGAUAUAUGAGUCUAUUUUCAGGGAAAAUUAAUGGCACUUGAUUUGGAGUUUUGUAGCUCCAGUUAUAAAUGAUUUAGUGACUGUUGCUCAGGAAGACAGCUUGCAGUGAAAUUAUGAUUAUGUGGUAAACAUUGACAAAUUUGUUAAUGAGUUGCAUAUUGAUUUCUUAUAAGCUUACUCUGAUCUGUAGGUGUGAUUGGCCGAAUAUUGUAAGGGGUUAAUACGUAGCUCGUAUUUGAAUAGUUAGAUUAACGUGUUAGUAAUUCAAUUGUAGGCAGUUCGUGUGUGGAUCUCGUCAGCAUAUCGUCGCAAACAUGUGUGUAACUGACACUCUCUCAUAGACUAGAUUGGCAAAAGUCGAAAAGCCGAAAUACCGAAAAGUCAGUAUUUUGGAAAUUUGCGAGUGUGCGAAUGCUCGUAAGAUAGUUGGGUUUGUAUAUUUGGUAAUCUAAAGUAAUAAACUGCAGUACGCGUGAUUUCGUACAUUUUGAUAAUUUGGGCUUAAUGGGCCAAAGAUCGGGUUCAUGGGCCAACGAGCCCAAUUCGGUAAGUAUGCGCGGUAAGUGUUCUGAUAGUACGUAAAUAGUUAGUAUAUGCAUGAAAACCCUAAAAGUAGCAAAAUUACUAUAAUACCCCUAUGUAUGGAAAAUUAUUGUUAUACCCCUAGGUGCAAAAUUACCAUUAUACCCCUAGGGUUAAUUUUGACUGAAAAGCAUGACGAUCUGAUUCUGUAUAAUGUAUGUCAUGAUUAUAUAUCUGUUGCAUGGGGACAUGGAUUAUGUUAUGAAGGAAGCGUCCUGGUGGCUAUGCCACAAUUAUCUGAUCUGGUGGCUCUGCCACAUAUAUUUGUUCUAGUGGCUAUGCCAUGAUUAUCUGAUCUGGUGGCUCUGCCACAUAUAUCUGUUCUGGUGGCUAUGCCACGAUUAUCUGAUCUGGUGGCUCUGCCACAUAUAUCUGUUCUGGUGGCUCUGCCACAAUAUCUGUAUCUGGUGACUUCGUCACAAUAUCUGGCAGCCUCGCUGCGAUUUCUAUAGUGUGUAGCGGUUGGGUGGGUCGAGUAGUCUCCUCACAUGGUGUAAGGCUGGUACGGGGGUGUUAUGGAUGAAUUUGGGUUGGGUUGGGUUUCUGCAUAAACAUGUAAUAUCUGUUCUGUUCUGUUAUGGGCCUAUGGGCUUUAUUUUGAAUUUCUGUUUUGGGCUAAGGCCAACUUAUUCUAUUUCUGUGGUUUGAGCUGAUAUAGGCUAUGGUUGGGUUAAUUUACACACUGAGUUUCCCCAAACUCACCCCUUUUAUUUUUAUCCACGCAAGUAAUCCCCAACCAUAGUGGGCUUGGAGCUGUGAGGGAAUUCGGAGUGGCCACCCGUUCUGAAAGUUUGAUUUUCUUCUGGUGAAUUGGACAUCCUUUUAUUUAUGUUUAAAGUUUUGAGUUUUUAAAUGUAAUAAGACCGCUUAAUUAUUUUUGAUGGUUUUAAUAUGUAUUACUAAGAUAGGUAUUACUUAUUUUAACUGUUGAAAUUGGAUAGCUUUAGGGCGCGUUUUCAAAAACAAUUGAUUUCAAAAUAACACGACAACAAGCAAAGCUUCCGCAAUGAAAGUAUUUUCCAAAAUUAAUCACUUUUCCUAAAAAGAACAUAAUCAAAUCGGUUUCCUAGAAAUAUCUAUGACGUUAAGGUGUGGCAAUAGCGGUAUGCAUGUCUAGGAUUGGAUCCGAAGGGAGCUUGGUACUUAAGCAGUCCGAUGGACUCACCACCUCUUUUCCGAUUUUCUACCUGGUGCACAGCUUCCAUUCACUUUAACCUAUAAUGAAAUUACCUUUUAAAACACUAAGUUUUUCUGGAUCAACAAUAUAAAAUGUUUUGAACGUUUCGAUGUGGCAUGUCGGAUCCGGUCAUAAUGUCUGGGUCGGGUUUGGGGUGCUACAUAACUUGAAUCAAUAUCCUGGACUAUCAAAACAAGAAUUAAGAACACACAAUUAAGAACAAGUCAAAUAUUUAUGAUACAAUUCAGAUAAUAAUAACAAGAUCCGUCUUAGGCUUCAUCCCCCUUAGGUAUUUAGGGGUUUUAGUUCAUAACUAAAAAGGUAAACAUCUCAGAAGAAUAAUUAAUACAAAACAUAAAGAAAAACCCAAAACUCCUGAAGGGAAAUUGAGGGGAGAUUUUCAGUCUUGAUGAUGAAUCCGACUUUUAAGAUGGAUCAAUCGGCUUUCCUUGAGUAGUUCCCUGCUUCCUCCUCUAUGGCCCCUUUUCCCUCAUCCUCUAGGGUAUAUUUAUAAGCUUUAGAAUGCCUAAGAACCCUCAAAAUUGGCCUUUUCCAAAUUGGACUAAACUUGGGCUCGGCAGGGACACGCCCUGUGCAAUUACUUCAGGCCGUGGUCAAACCUGUUAAAUAGACAUGGGCGUGUGGUCUACCCGUGUGAGUUGUGCUUCGAUUCUAGCAAAUUGACACGGCCGUGUGGUCUGCCUGUGUGAGGAAGCCUGGGCCGUGUUGAUUUUGUACGUUGGCCUAUUUUCUCCAUUUUUAGCUCGUUUCUCGUUCCUUUCACUGUCCUAUGCUCACUUAAGUAAAAAACAUGAAUUUAAGGCAUUAGGAGCAUCGAAUUCACCAAUUUUAAGGAAAAAUCAUCCAUAAAAUGUACUAAGCAUGGGAUAAAAAUAUGUAUGAAUUACGGUUUAUCACAUAUGCACAACAAUCGAGCUUCGAGAAGCUCAGGACUGUUUUGACUCAAGCUCCUGUUCUAAUAUAGCCUGAAUUUGGUGAGGAGUUUGUGGUAUACAGUGAUGCAUCACAUGUUGGUUUGGGAUGUGUGUUGAUGCAGGAGGGGAAAGUUGUGGCCUAUGCAUCCCGAAUGCUUAAGAUGCAUGAGGCAAAUUAUCCGACGCAUGAUCUCGUACUGUCUGUGGUGGUUUUUGCAUUAAAGAUCUAUAGACAGUAUCUGUACGAGGAGAGGUGUAUUGUCUACACUGAUCAAAAGAGCUUCAAGUACCUCUUUACUUAGAAAGAGUUGAAUCUUAAGCAGCACCGUUGGAUUGAGUUGCUCAAAGAUUAUGACUACAUAAUAGAGUAUCACCCUGGUAAGGCCAAUGUAAUGACUAAUGCUCUAAGUCGUAGAGCGAUGUUCGCUCGCCUUAGUUUGUUUGAUUAUGGGGGUCUGUUAGCUGAGUUGCAAGUUAAGCCAACUUGGAUUGAUUAGAUUCAAGUUAAGCAGUUGGAGGAUGAGUCUCUGGGUGUGCAGUUUCGACAGAUUGAGAGUGGUGGUACUUUAGAUUUUGGGCUGAAUAAAGAUAUAUGUUUCCGAGGUUGAAUUUAUGUGCCAAAGGAUGUGGAUUUGAGGUAGUCGAUAUUGAGGGAGGCGCAUAGUAGUCCUUAUGCUAUGCAUCCUGGCAGUAAUAAGAUGUAUCACGACCUUUGCAAGUUGUAGUGGUGGCCCAGUUUGAAGCAUGAGGUUAUUGACUUCGUGGCUCGAUGUCUGACGUGCCAACAGGUUAAGGCUAAGCACCAGUUACCUUUGGCUUUAUUGCAGCCAGUCAAGAUUCCCUUAUGGAAAUUGGAACGUGUGAUGAUGGACUUUGUUAGUGGGUUUCCCUUAACACCCACUAGGAAGAAUUCUGUUUGGGUCAUCGUGGAUCAGUUGACCAAGUCUGCUCACUUCAUUCUAGUUCAGACGGACUUUUCUCUUCAGAAGUUGGCGAAGCUGUAUACCUCUGAGAUAGUUAGACUGCAUGGGGUUCUGGUAUCGAUUAUUUCCGACAGAGAUCCUCGUUUUACAUCAUGGUUCUAGAAGUUGCAUGAAGCUUUGGGUUCUAGAUUGGACUUUAGUACUGCGUUUCAUCCUCAUACAGAUGGCCAAUUCGAGAGGGUGAUUUAGAUUCUAGAGGAUAUGCUUAGGAGUUGUGUGAAUGAUUUCCACGGUAGUUGGGAGGAUUAUCUGCUGCUGGCUGAGUUCACCUAUAAUAAUAGUUUCCAGGCCAAUAUUCAGAUGACACCUUAUGAGGCUUUGUAUAGUCGUAAGUGUCGUACUCUAUUGUGUUGAAUUGAGUUAGGCGAAUGUCAAGUUUUGGGUCUUGAGUUGGUUUUCGAGAUGGAGGAUAAGGUUAAACUGAUUUGGGAUCGUCUGAAAACGGCUUCUGAUAGAUUUGAAGAGUUAUGAGAUUGAGUAUUCUGUGGAGGGCUUUGUAUUUCUUAAGGUUUCUCCAUGGAAGAAGAUAUUGAGGUUCGACCGUAAGGGUAAGCUAAUCCCUAGAUUUAUUGGGCCGUACCAAAUUUUGAAACGUGUGGGACCAGGUGCCUAUCAGUUGGAGUUACCCCUGAACUAGACCGUAUCCAUGAUGUUUUUCACGUUUCGAUGUUGAGACGGUACCAAUCUGACCCAUCUCAUAUUGUCUCGGUUGAAGAGAUUGAAGUUAGGCCAAACUUGACCUUUGAGAAGGGGUCGAUUCAAAUCUUAGAUCGAGAUGUUAAGGUUCUAUGGAAAAAGUCCAUUCCAUUAGUGAAGGUGUUGUGGUGGAAUUAUAGCACUAAGGAGGCCAUGUGAAAACCUGAGGACUCAAUGCAUCAGUAAUAUCAUCUAUUCUGAUCAGGUAAAUUUCAAGGUCGAAAGUUCUUUUAGAAGGUAAAUUUGUAAUGCCCCAAAUUUCUUAUGUCUACUUCUGUAAAAAUUUUGACACAAUUGUGUAUCUGCUUCGAUGGUUAAGUGUUCUAGGUGUGUGUGAGAAGUCUUAGGUUCAAGCCUUACCUUUAGCAAUUUUUGUUAUUUUUUUGGAAUUAGGCCUUACCCUUGGUGAGUGGGUUUAUUUUUAAUUGUUGCUAUUGGAUGUUAGAAUGGGCCUGCUGGUCUGGUGGUUAGGUGGAGUGUGGGUUUGCUGGAGGUCCUGUGUUUGAGUCUUUACGCAGGCGUGAUUGCUAAUAUUUUUUGCUCUAUUGGUUUGUACAGUUUCGAUUGAACGAUAAGUCUGAGUAGUGGUUGUUAGUGCGAUUAGUGAAGAGAUUUGAAGGAUGUGGAGUUAUGGGAAUUAUCCUUAUUGUUUUUUUCUUUUCUUUUUUUGAAAAUCUCUCUUUCUAAAGUUUUGUUUUCCUCAGCACUCCGCCGAAAUUCCUUUGAAACUUCUCUUUUUUCCUUUUCCUUUUGCUUCCCUAAGUCAUCUUUUCUUUUAGCAACGUGAAUUGCAAUGGUGAGGGUUUUGUGGAUACGUACUCCAGCGUAUACUUGCUGAGUUUCACAAACUCCCGCUCAUACUCUGUCACAGUCUUAUUACAUUGCUUCAACUCUAGGAAUUCCUUUCUUUUCUAGUCCAUAAACCUCUGGCUAAUGUACUUCUUUCGGAACUCUCCUUGGAAAAAUUCCCAAGUUACUCUUUCUUUCGGUAUUACAGACAUGAGAGUGCUCCACUACUGAUAAGUUGAGUAUCGUAGAAGUGAUACAGCACACUUCACGCAUUCUUCAGGUGUGCAUGACAGUUCAUCGAAUACCCUCAUGGUAUUCUCUAGCCAAAACUUCACUGUCUCUUGGUCAUCAUCUACACUAGCCCGAAAUUCCUCGGCCCCUUGCUUCUGGAUCUUGUCUACCGGAGGCUUCUCUCAUCUGAACACAUAUGCACCUUGCGGAGCCAUCGGGGCAUAUUGAGGAAUCGGAGGAGGUGGGGGAGGUGGAGUGUUCGGGUUCGCACGAACAGACUCCAUAUACCAAGCAUCUAUCAUUCGGAGGUAGGCUUCCCUAGCCUUUCUGUCUUGGCCCAUACUUAUGGGCUCACUCUCAAUCGACGCGGUCCCUUCUGCGGGAGCUGGUGCAUUACUUUCUACGUCAUCUACCGUGGUUCUAUCAGGACCAAUUACUAUAAUAAAAACAAUUUAUAAUCGUCAAGAAUCGUCACACUAUCAAUAUGCAUAUACGUGGCAUGUAUAGCUAGACUCGUACUCUCACUAGUUUAGUCCUAGAAUCGACUAAACCAUGCUCUGAUACCACCAAAUGUAACACCCCUCACCCGUAUCCGACACUAGGAUAGGGUUCGUGGUGCUACCUGACUUAAACUCAAUCAACUGUAUAAAACUGGGCCAUGAAAUUUCAAACAAUUUAAAAACUUCUCCUUUCACAAGCAACUAUCUCAUAUAUGGGCUUACGAGGCCCAAUCAUAAAUCCAGGGUUGUUUGCAACCCAACCGAGACCUCAUGAAAACUUAGAAAAUUUUUAUGCAUCAAGACUCUACACGCCCGUGUAGGUAUAGAACACACGACCAUGUGUCAGGGACACGCCCGUGUCUCGAACCCGUGUUUGAAAUCAUAAGCAUUCUGCCAAAACCACACAGCCCUCGAACACACCCGUGCCCUAUAAUCGUGUCCUUCACACGGUCGAUACACAUGACCGUGUCUCUUGUCCGUGUGCUACAAACAUGCAUACAGACUUUAUGACACGGCCUGAGUACACGCUAGUGUGGCCUACCCAUGUGCUAAAAUGAAUUUAAAAAAUUUAAGUGUAGGGGACGCACGGCCAUAACACACGCCCAUGGGUGUGAGCCAUGUGUCACACACGGCCUAGACACACGCCCGUAUGUCUUACCCGUGUGGACAAACUAGGCUAUUUCCCAAGCCCUUUUGUCACCCAUUUUACAAAACCUACACAAGAUCGAUUCAAUACAUAUAUCUCAUCACAAUGGGCACUAAUUCAUCCAUAGAAAUAACAUUAUAUGCAUUCAUCAAAAUGAAUAAUAGCCAUUAUUCCAGGCUUGAUUACAAAAUGAAGGGCCUUUGACUUAAGCCAAAAUACAUGAACUAUUCUCUUAAUACAACAUCCUAGUCUAGCCCUAUACAUGCCACCAUAAAAAAUAUAAAUCCAACUAUACCGGGUAUUGCGGCUGAUAGUGUGAUCGAUAUCUCUGACUUUAAGGGUGAUAAAUGCCAAAUUAUACAUAUUUUUACCCCAAAUACUUAGCAUAUUUAUGGAUGUUUAUUACUAGAUUUGUGAAUUUUGAUGCUCUUAAUCCAGUUAUUUCAUGUUUUGUACUCAAGAGAGCACCAAAAGUCAAAAGGAGCCAAAAACGAGUAAAAAAGGGACGAAACAGACCAAAUCGAGAAGAUGACACGGCCUAAGCCUUGCCACAUGGGCAGCUCACACGCCCGUGUCUUUUGAGGGUGUCGACCAAAGCUUUCAAGAUUCACACGGUUUGGCCAUUGACCCACACGGCUGUGUACAAUUUAACGGAUCGAACACGGCCUGAUAAUCACAUCACACAGUCGUGGCACACGGGCGUGUCCCUUUUUCAAGGAGCUGUAUUUUACACAGAAAAAGAUACUUAGGGAGGAAGAAAACCAAUCCAAAGCCUAUAUAAACACCCUAAGUAUGACUUAGAAAGGGGGUCCCCUUUAGAACUUUUUUGGAGUACAAAGCCACACGCCGAGAAUUACUUGAAGGAUGCCAGACGAUCCAUCCCAAAAGCUGGAGCUACUCCAAGACUGAAGAUCUCUCUCAGAAUUCCUUCAGGGGUUUUAGAGUUUUUUUAUGUUUUGUUAUUUUCAUACUUUUGAGAUGUACUCUUAUUUUAUUAUGAACUAAACCCCUUAGAUACCUAAGGGGGUUGAAACCUAUGAUGGAUCUUGUUAUUAUUAUCUGAACUGUCUGAUAAAUACUUGAUUUGUUCUUAAUUAUGUGUCCUUAAUGCUUGAGUUAAUAUUUCGGGUAUUGAUUCGUGAUUUGAUGUGCUUAUGCAGAGGAGCAAAAGUCCCUGUCUAAGGUAGAUUUGGCAUAAUUAAGCGGAGUUGAUCGAACGCCUAAAAAUAGGGUUACAAGAUUUUACCGGAUUAGGGUGAAACCUAAUAUGGGAGUCCAUAGAUCGAUUUACUGCUUCCCUAGGGGUUUUAAUUAAAAAAGAGAUUUCAAUUGAUUCAACUGAGGGUUAGACAUUAUUAGUCUCGAAAGAGAUAAUAAUAUAGGUUAGGGAGUCUCACGGAUCAAGUGAAGUGAAUAAAUCGUCUUGUUCAGAGUCAGAUAAUAAGUGAAAUUUAAGUGGAUUCCUUCUUGGGUUUCUUUAUCAAUUACUUUUCUUCAAGUCUUUUUCCAAAUUUUCUCUUUGCUUUAGUUUAAUUAGUUAAUUAUUUUAGUUAAUUAGUUUAAUAAACAACCCCUCUUUAUUUCUAGGUUAACUAAUAAAAAAGAUAGUUAUUACUAGUACUUUUGGUUCCCUUGGGUAAGAUAUCCCAGUCUUGCCAUACUAUAAUAUUGUUUGAUAGGUGCGCUUGACUUUUCGUCGUGAUAAUAAUUAGUCUAGGUUUGAUCUUCAUUAUAAAUAUUUAUUACUUGUUACGAAUCACGCGAUCAAAGGAUCCUUAAGUUAGCUUGAUAACACUGAAAGAAGAGGGAAAUGAAAGAGGGUAAGCGUAAAGCUUAAUAAGUAGCAUAUAAAUAAAUAUACAACAACAAUCUCACCAUUAGUCAUCGUACUUAUAGCUCAAAGGUAAACAUAAUUUAACUUAUUCAUUAUCAUCUACUCGAGUCACAUUCUCUAAAUUAAGCUCGUUACUCAUGCUUACCAUAUAGGUACCUGUACCAUUCACAACAUGAUUAUUCUUUCUUUAUCAAAAUUGAUCUACAACUCUCAUCAUUGAAACGUUUGGAAUACUACUGGAUAUUCUAUGAACCUUCAACAUGGGAUAUAUUACCGAUACCAUGUCUCAGGCAUGGUCUUGCACUAGCACUCAUCUUUGUGCCGAUGCCAUGUCCCAGACAUGGUCUUACAUUGGCUAUCAUAGUAUGGCUGAUACAUGUCCCAGACAUGUCUUACACUAGCCCUCGUCUGGAUGUCGAUGCUAUGUCCUAGACAUGGUCUUACACUGGCUCUCAUAAUAUGGCCGAAGCAUGUCCUAGACAUGUCUUACACUGGCGCACAAAUCACCCAAUGCCUCGGCACGAAUAUCCAGUUCGUAUUCUAAUGUUUCAACGGGAUAUUUCUAUUAUCUCAAUUAUUCCUAGGCAUUCUCAAUUCAUAACUUGACAACUCAUACAAUAUCAAUUCAAUGGCGAUAUGAAUACAAGUAUUAACAGUGUAGUUGUAUCAUUUACAUACAACUUACCUCGGUUCACAAAAAGUACUCGACUAUUCGGUUUAGUCGGUUUGCUUGGCAUUCCCCCGAUCUAGGUUCAGAUUUGGUAAUUCUUGAUCUAUAAUGAUAAUAUGCACUCAUUUAGUCACUAAUUAGGAUUAAUAAAUCAGAAAUUUACAUAUUUGGUAAAAUGACCAUUUUUCCUCUAGACUUUAGCAAAAUGACCAUUUUACCCCUAUGCCCGAAAAUCUAUUUUCAUCGAAUUUCGUUGUAUCUUAGGCCUAAUCGAACUAUUUUUACUAUUAUAGCAACUUCAAAUUAUCACUAUUUCACAUACUUAUUAACUAUUUUACAACUUAUGCAAAAUAGCCCCUUUAGGUGUUUUCAUGCUAACACCUUUUACAAAAGUUGUUUAUAACACAACUAGGACUCAUAUUCCUCCAUAAAAACUCAAUAAAAAUUACAAAUCCUUUCAUGGCAACACUCUAAACUCUCGAACAUUUUGCAAGAUAUCACCCUCAUUUGAAAACUCAUGCUUUAAAGGUAUCAAAAAUGCAAAAAUCAUCAACAAAGGGUGUGUGAAUCACUUACUUGUGAGGGCUUUUAGUUGCUAAAAAUUUUUAGCCUUCAAAACUCUAUUUUUAUUGAUAUUUUUGGUGGAGAAGAGAGAUGGAGAAGAAAGAAAUGAUAGCUAGGCUUUUAGGCAUUAUUUUAUCAGUAAAUCAUGACAUCAUCCACCUAACCCUUUGACUAUUUGCUUAAAACCCAUCACAUGGCCGGCCAACACUAAUAAAAAGGAUGUAAUUUCCCUUUAAAAGCCCUAAAUUUAAGUUCUUUAGCUAUUUAACUCAUUUGGGUACUAAAAUGUAACUUUUUCCUUUUAUCCGAUUUAGUCCUUUUUCGAAAUUGGGCUAGAAAACAUUAAAAUUAGCUCACCAAAUUUUUCAUGCACUAAUAAAAUCAUACUAUAACCUCAUAAAAAUAAUAAAAUAAUUUUUUUCUAACUUCGUAUUUGUGGUCCUUAGACCACUGUUCCUAUUAGGCCCUAAAUCAGGCUGUUACAGUAUGGGCCACAUGGUCACGUUACAUGGGCAUGUGAUAACUGGGCCAAGUCGUGUAAUCCACACGGGCAAGGUCAAUCUGGGCGUGUGGGCCACACGGAUGUGUGGGUCCACAAGGGCAACCCGCACGAGCAUGUGGACCUAUUGUACUGAAAUUUUUUGUAGGGCCGCACAGGUCGUCCUAAUCGACUGUGGGCCUACCAUAAGGUCGGUAAAUGCAAUCUAACCCUAUAACGAAAUAAUCUAUUAGCCUGAAAUAUGGUUAUGAGCCUGCCUAUGUUUGUUUAUCAGUUAUCUGUUUAUGAAAGCUGUUAAGCAUGAUUUAUCUGUUAAUUCUGUAUGGGAGUUCUGUUACUGUAAUUGGGGUGGGAUGAUGCAUAUUGGAGAAAGUGUUCUGAAAGGCAGAGUAUGCCUAAUAUUUGGCAGCUCAGCUGCAUUAUAUCUAAUAUGUGCUGCUUUGGUAUAGCGUGGUAUGUAGGGAUGGGUAGGUGUUUUAAACCCCACAUGGUAUGUAGGGAUGGUCGGAGAUGGUGUGUAGAGGAUGAGGGUAGGAUUUUGAUAUGUAAUUUGCAUAUCUAUAACUGUAUCUACAUCUGAAAUGGGCUCAGGCUCGAAUAUGUAUCUGCAUCUUACAUGGGCCCAAGCCUGAAUAUUAAUCUAUCUGAUUUGUGGUAUUCUGUAUGUGUACAUGCUUAACUCUACUGGGUUACACAUUGAGUUUAUGUAAACUCACCCCUUCUCUAUUUGUUUGUAUAGGUAACCCACAGUCUUAGGCAGAUCGGUGCAACAGAGGACUCGACGGUGACCAUCUAUUUUUACGAUUUUAUUUUAUUUUAUGGUUAUGAAGUUUUGACAUUGAGGUUGUAUUUUUUGAACUCUUUUAAACUAUUUGAUGCUGGUUUUGGGUGGUUUUUACUUAUGUACAACUAUGAUGGUUUACCAAUGGCAAGGGUUUUCUAAAAUCUUGAACGGAUUUUCUAGACACAACGAUUUUACAAGCUUCUGCUACAAAUACGUUUUAUCUUUGAAUAAUUAAAUGAAAGAAAGCUUUGAAAUUAAUAAUAGCAAUAAAGACUAAUGAACUGGAAAGGUUUUAACUUAAUGACAAUGGUUUUUCAACCAUUUCAUGUGACACUUCCAAAUUCAGUUAUAACAUCUAGGUCGAGUUUGGGGUGUUACAAAACAUGGAAGGGUUAGUUAUGCUUGAAAAGAAGUCAAAGCUAGAAGUUACUAUAAAAAGUGAUGAGAUUGAGGAAAGUAAGAAAAAGCAUAAGCCAGUAAUUAAAGACUACAAACCACUAUAUCCAGCAGCAUUGAAGAGAGACCACAGAAAAGAACUAUAUGGUAUAUUUCUUAAACUUCUAAAAAAACUGCACAUUAACUUACCAUUUGUUGAAGCUAUUUAACAAAUGCCAAAGUAUGCAAAAUUUUUAAAGGAGCUAUUAACAAAUAAAACGAAGUUAGAUGAAUUAUCGACUAUGAAGCUCAAUGCAGUUUGCUCAGUCAUUCUCCUAAACAAACUACCCAACAAACUUAAAGAUCCAAGGAGUUUUAUUAUUCCAUGUCUCAUUGGUAGUUUAAAUGUUGAAAAAGCUUUGGCUGAUUUGGGGGAUAGUAUAAAUUCUAUGCCUUAUAAGAUGUUCAAACAACUUGGUCUUGGAGAACUUAAACCCAUUAGGAUGAGUAUUCAAUUAGUGGAUAGAUUAAUUAGAUAUCCUAGAGGUAUUAUUGAUGAUGUACUUAUAAAAGUCGAUAAAUUUAUAUUCCCUAUUGACUUUGUUGUAUUGGACAUGGAUGAGGAUAUUAAGGUACCUAUGAUCUUAGGUCGAGCUUUUUUAGCCACUACUAGAACUAUUAUUGAUGUGGCUACUGGUGAACUUGUGCUUUGCGUAGGUGAUGAAAAAAUUUCUUUUCAAGCACGUGAUUUUAUGAGAGUCCCUAGUAAGCGAGAUGAUACUCAUUGUUCUGUUAAUGUUAGUAAUCAUGAGGCUCAACGUUCUUUGUAGGAAAUCCCUAAUGAAAACACAUUGGAGCCAUAUUUUAUUCAAAGUGAUAUGUAACACCCUAAAAUAGGGCCUAAGAGUUUUAUGGGUAAUUUAGGAAUUUUAGCCUUAGACUAUUCAGAAUUUUAUGACCUGGUAUAUCGGUAAUGUUUUCGAAAAAUGACUAAUUUGUAAUAAGGCUGAAAUUGUGAGCAUUUAUGCUGUAGUUUUACCAAAUUUUAAAUUUGAACCUAAAAACCCAACAUACUUGUUUUCACGUUUUUUUUCUCUUCUUAGGUUGCUUGUGCUGUCCUUUGCUCUUCCAAUCUCCCACCUUUGAUUUUCCUUGUUAAAUUUUCAUUCUUUUGAUUUCCAUCAUCAUCCAAGUCUUUAAUCUUCAUAAUACUUCAAGAAAACACUCCAAAAUUCCAUUAAUUUAUUUAUCUUCUUCACUUGUAGGUUUUUCAGAUUUGCAUCAAAAUCUCAUUUAUUCUUCUAUCAAAGGUAACCAUUCACGUUCUUAAUAGUUUUUAAUGUUAUUAGGCCUUUGAAACCAGGUAUGGAGUUAUGAAAUUGCAUAUUUUAAAUAAAAGCCAAAAAUAAAGUUGUUAAUGGUGAAUUUUAGAUUUUCGAGUAAAAAUAUGAUUUCAAAGUGUUAAUCAAUAGGUUUUGACAUGAUUAAGAGAUUUCAAAACUUGUUUUGAAGUUUCAUUAAAAAUUUCUUGAGUUUUAAUGAAUUUUAAAAAAAUAGCCAUAAACAUGUUGAAAAAGUCGAUACCACGAACUGAGUAGAUUAAUGUAGUUUAAAGGUUGAGAAUUAGACGUAGGUGAAUUAUAAGAUGAACAGAAUUGGUUUUAUGCGAAAAGACUGUGUAUAGACCUAGAUAUUCGAAUUUAAAGUUUACUAUGUUAAAGUUUUCAGUUACAUGAAAACUUAGUUUAGGUUUAUAUUUUUGAUUGUUUUUGGUGAGUCAUUAGCUGAUUUUUGAAUGUAUUGUUGUGUGAAUUAUUGUGUUGAAGCUUCGGAUUCGCUAAGACCAUUUACGAGUUAGGAAAGGCUAGUUUGAACUUUUGGCUUUUCGGUGAAAGCAUAUUGGUGUGUGUGGAGUAAUUGCUUGUGGCCCCAAUUCAAUGCAUUAAUUGAGAAUUUAGAAGUAGCCUAAACCCCUAUUCUAAAUUUCAAGUGUACAAUUUCUCGUACUCUUAAUUUAAUAUGUGCUUGUUGAUUGUAAAAUUGUGAAGUGAGAUAAGAUGUUAUAUUAUGUGAUAUGUGCUCAAGAUUACCUUUGAGAAAGUGUAAAUGUAAACAUGUUAUAUACGCUAGAUGACAGUGAUAAUGUUGUGUUAUAAUGUAAUAUUUACAGUGAAUAAGUGCAAUGAAUGGUAAGUACAUGUGUAUUAAUAACGGAUAUUUUGACCUUGUGAUUCUUAAGACCAUUGGACAUAGUUGGCAUGCCAUAAGAUUGUGAGUACUCACCUAUAUGUAUAUGUGAUUUUGGCGUUAAGGCCUUGAGAUAUGUUUGGAGAGAUAAGAAAAUGUGAGCUAAGCUCCAUUCAACGAUACAUGUUUGGUGCGUUGGAGAGUGUUAGCUUUAUGCAUUAACUUUUGGACACGUUUGACUCAAUGGGUCUUUGUGGUGUGUUGGGGAUCCAUAUAACCAUUGAGUUGUGAUAGUGCCCACUUUUAUAUUUAAUAGCUCAAGUGUCAAAUUAUCUAUACAUAUGUUUGUAUGUAUUGUGAUGUAUGCAUGAAUGUGUAUGUAGUGACUCCAUAAAUAAACUAUGGAAUAGGCAUGAGAAGUAAAAUAUGUCAACUAAGUUGAGGCUGCUAUAAUUAUGCUACUGAUAUGUUGUAGCAAUGUUUAAUGGACUGUUUGCAUGGUAGUUGUUCUAGGCAUUCAUUGAACUUGUUAAGCUCGUCCACCCGCUUCUUAAACCUUUGCAGAUUAGUUGUGUGCCAAUGUGGUUUUUACGGGGUGAUCCAACAAGUCCAUUUUUGUUUUUUUGUAGGUGUUAGUGUUAAUUAUUUACAUUUUAGGAAUAAGGCAUUGUGGUAGGCUUUUAUUGGUAUUUGUCAUGAUGUUUUUGGAUGCUUCCAUAAUCUAUUCGAUCUUAGGAUUAUGAGAUUUGUUUUGUAAUAUGUUGAUUAUAACUUGAACCUAAUUUUGAUUUUUGAAACUGUUGAUAUGGAUGAUUGGAUGUUUAUUUGGUAUAGUAAUGGAUGCAUGAUGAAUAAAUUUGAUGUUGGAAUGUUCAGUAGGCAUAUAUGUGUUGUAUUGUUGAGGUCUAAAAAAGAGGUAUCUAUAUUCGUGUGUUAAAACCGAUACCUCUAUAAUUUUUGAAAUGUGUAGGAAGUUAAAAUUAUAAAUUGGUAUCGAUACCAUAUCAUGAGUAUCGAUAUUCGGGGUAAAGUUAUCGAUACUUUUUGUAAGAUAUCGAUAAUUUUGAGUGGUUUAUUUUUGGGCGAGAAAUAAAUAUUGUUUUGGUAUCGAUACUGAAUGAAGGAAAUAUUGAUACCUAUGUGCCAAUAUCGAUACCUACGUACUAGAUUGGAAUUUUGCUAAGCGGCCCUUGUGUAUGUACAAAUGUCAUUAUGAGAUGCUUAAGGUUUGUUCAACAAGACUUAGUGGUAAUUAGGAGUAUGUUUCACUUAAAACUCAAGCAAAUGCUAAAAUGGAUGACAUUUCUUCUAGAAUGAGCUCUUAAUUGUUGUGAAUGACAUGAGAUGGUGGUAUGGCGUCCUGAUAUUCGGGCUCGACAACCGGAUAGGACUGAGCCAGGUAUUAGAGCUUAGGUUCAUUAGCACUUGAACCUAGGUGAUUGUUGAUGAGUGAAUGGUUAAAUGUUUUGUUACAUUAUAUUAAUUUGCUUGAAUGGUUAAUUAAGGUGCCAUUUGAGGCAUAUUGGUUAGUUAUUUAGGUGUUAUUGUUGUGUUAUGUUUGGUUGGUGAAUUUGGUAUAAAAUUAACUUUUAAAGGAUGAAAUUUUACCAUUUUUGAUGUUAGGUAUUGAUAUUUUGGCAUUUGGUAUAGAUACUUGACCAUAUGAAUAGUUUUAAAACAAGCACAAUGCCAAAAUGAUAUUGAUUUUUAUUUAAGUAUCAAUACUUUUUCAUAAAGUAUCGAUACCAUAAAAUAAAUAUCGAUACCUUAGUUUUUGGUAACAAACAAAUUCAUAAUCUAGUAUCAAUUUUUCAUAAUGUAUCGAUUCAAUAUCGAUACCAACUAUGAAAUAUUGAUAUCAACUUUAAGAAUUUUGAAAUUCUACUUUUCAAACCCAUUUCAUGUCUAGGCUAUUACAAAUAGAUCUUUAUUGAAUUCAAUUUUCUACGUUUGUAUAAUAGAUAAUUAAGUGAAUUAUUUGUAAACAUAUUAUUUAUGAAUUAAUCAUAAAAAAUUGAAUUAUUAAAUUAUAAAUUAUUUGUAUUAAAUAGUAUUGAUUCGUAACAUUCUAUUACUUGGUUCCGGCCACUAGAACGGGUGAAGGGUGUUACACCUUAAUAGCCUUUGCUUUCAUAAUUGAAUAUAACAAAACCAUCCGUUCCACAAAAAUUGUGGUGCUAUGUGACACAGACAUUAGACUAAAAUUUAAAAAAUAAAACCAUACCUUUGCUAAUGGGGUCAAAUUUUCUCUACGACAAGUAUGAUUUCCGCAUCUCGACACAGUCCAUUUAAACCCAGGAAUUGUAAGUUCACGUAAAAAUUCUUGCAACAUCUCCGUUUCAACAUUUAUCUAUAUCGAAGAACCAUCUUUAUCUUUGUAAUAAGGUAAAUAAUAAAAAUCAUUAAUUGAUUUUGAGUUUAAUGGUACCUUAAUACCUCGGACAAAGCUUCUAUUGCAUUAGUUGAGGUCAGAUUUGCAUAAAAUUCUCGAACUAACUCAAGAUCUAGGAUCGGUUUUUCAUCACAAAACGCUUCCCAAUUUAAUGCUUCAACUAUUUUCUGAACGUUUGCCAUGAAGUCACUGUGAUUACUUUCUCCCAAAUUAAAUCCUUUUUCCAUGAGUGUAAUGACCCAUUUUUGCCCGGGCUUACACUAGAACCAAAACCAAAAUAAAACAAAAAUAAAAAAACAAAAAUAAUUAGGUCCAAUGUCCCUGUUACAAGUCUAAUUAUUUAGCCCACAAUAACAUAAACCCCUAGCCCAAAUUCUGACCCAAAACAGAAAAAUAUUCAAGAAAUCCUAAGUUACCAAGUUUACACAAGCCAGAAGCUUCUGGAACGUGCCAGAACAACGUCAGGGGAUCGGGCUCCCAUGAGCAAUUCCGCAGAGUCUCCGAGCCUCAUCCACGAGUGUUCUUUUCCGUACAGUCGAACCUGCGAGAAGAAAAUAACAGAAAUAGGCCAGCAGAUGACAGCAAAUAUUAGAGUUUUCUCUAUUUUAUUUAUUUAUUCUGUAAAUCGGUUAUAAAAAGGUCGAAAAAAAUCAGUGUAAAGGGGGGAUUACGAAAAUGUUGAAUACAAAAUAAAAAAAAAUGAAGAUUCCACAAAAAUUAGAAGGUGAUAGUUUACUUUAUUUUAAUUUUUUGGUUUUAAAUCUCUGUUUUCAUUUUUUUUUCGUUUUUAAAAUACUUUUCUUGUAUGCGAAUAAAUAAAAAGGAAAAGAGAGAGGGGAGUUUACCUUCGAAAACGAGCCAUCGGAAUCCUUAUCUCCUUCGUCGAAAUCGAAGCCUGAGAUGGGAUUUUAGAGUGUUAAUCGGCCGAAUAGUGAAAGGGGAAAUUUCCUUUGUUUUUGAAGUGGCUAAGGUUUGGUCUUUGAGAAUCGGUUAAAAAAGGGGAAAAUUAGGGAUUGCUUUGAUUGCUUAAAGAAAAUGGCAGAUGGCCAUCCAAUUUCUUUUAGUUUUAAUGUUAAAAAAUGGUGUCAUUUAAUAAAACAAGAAAGCCCGCACGUUGGCCCAAUUUGUAAGCUGGAUAUGCGCAUUUCCAUCUUAAAUGGGAAAUUUUCUCGGACAGUCCCUCAUACUUGUGCCACCCUUAAUUUAAUCUUAUUUUAUUUCCUUCACAUUUGCCCUGAAGUUUGCGGGCUAUUUCAAUUCAGUCAGCGCCUGAGUGUUUUUCUUUGAAGUUGGGAACGUUUUCACUUUUAACCCUUGAGCAUUCGCACGCAUUGUAUUUUAGUCCUUAUGACAGUUUCAUUGAUUUAUUUUAUUUAUUAAUUAUCUCUGUUAGUUUAAUUUUAUUUCAAUUAAGUUCUUUUUUCCAUUUCAAUUUGUAUAAUUCAUUAUUUUUUUAUAUACAUUCAUUUAGUGUUUAUCUCUUUUUUUUUUAUACAAUUUAAAUUACUUUCAUAAAUUACUUUGUUUUCAUUAUAAAAGUACUAUUUUAAAAUCACCUUUUAUAUAUCAUAUUAUUUUAAAAUUUUGUACAAUAUUUAAUUUAAAUUACCUAUAUAUAUAAUUUAUGUUAAAAAUAGUUUUUAAACAUUAUUAAUUCUUGAAAUUUUGUACAAUAUGCUUAUUUGCAUCUCCUUUUAAAUUUAUUAUGAAUGUAAUUUAUUCUUGAAAAAACAUAUUUUAUUAUUUCUUUGUUAUUUAGGAUCCUUUCAUGUAUAUAUAGUUUUAUUAUAUAUUGACUUGUUAUUCUUUUAUGUAUAUUAUUCAUUCCUUAUUUUUAUUGUAUCUUCAUUAUAUAUUGUUUACAUCGAUUUUUUAUUUUUGUAUGUAUAUUAUCACCUUUAAAUAGAUAUGUAUUGUUUUUAAAAUAUUUUUGUAUGAUAUUUGCUCCGAAUUUCUUCUUUCACAAUAUUUUUAUUUUAAUAUCCAUUUACAUAUUUUUAAGUUUAUUUUUAUAUAUGUAAACCAUUGUCAAACCCUAGCAUGCAUUAUUUAUUUGUAAGUUUUUCAUAUAGUUUUAAAUUGUUGUGUAUUAUAUUUGGCUCUUAGUGUCCAUAUUACUCUGUAUAUUAUGUGUUGUGUUUCAUUUUUCAUAUUAUUUUAUAUAUUAUUAUUGUAUAUUGUCAAUCAGUCUUUUCUACUAUUGCUUCAAUUUCUGUUCAUCUAUGCUCGAAACUUGUUAUAUUUUAUUCUAAUUUAUUUUUGGAUGUGAGCUCAUUGCUAUUGUGUGUAUGUUAAUUUGUUCUUUUUUGUCCACUUGUAUAAUAUUUCAUCUAUGUAUAUAUCCUCUUUUAAAGUUAUUUAUGCAUAUAAUAUAUUUGUUUUAAGAACCAUAUUAUCAUAUAUACUCUCAUGUUAUCCUUAUGUAUGCCUUAUUUAUGUGUUCUAUCAAUUCAAAUCGUUUUGCUACAUGUAAAAUUAUGUUAUAUAUUAUUUGUUUUAAAAUUUCCUUUAUAAAUAUAGUUUUAUAAAUAUACAUCACUAAAUCUAUGUAUUUUGUAAAUAUUAGUUUUACCGAUCUUGUUUUCAUUUAAAAUUUUGUUAUAUAUAUAAUUUAUAUAUAUAUUUAUACAUUAUUAACUUCAUUCUUCCACAAAUAAUUAUUCCCAAAUUUACUAGUAUAUACAUAUUUUAUGAAUUUAUUAUGUAUGUUAUAUUAUAUCAUGUAUUGUUAUUCCUGCAUAUUGAAUCUUUUAUUUAAAUUAUCUUGUGAAUUAUCAAUUUUUGAAUGAAUUUGUGUUUUAAAUAUUUCAUAUAUAAUUUGAUUUGAACUUUGUAUUUUUAUCAUAAUUAUUUUCAAUAAACAUGUUUUUAAGCAAAUUUUUAAAUUUUUAUUGUUCAAAAAAUUCUGAAAUAAGACAAUAUCUAAUAUUUGGGGAAUUCAGAAAAUCGUGCUCAAUCGUACUAGGCAUGACUUUUCUGGAUAACCGAAUAUUUGGAUAACCCUUUUAUAAUUUUAAUGUAUGGCUUUUCAAAAGUCGAAAAUCGAUCGCAUCUUAAAGGUGUAAGGGAUCGUAUCCAAUCGUACUGGGUAUGAAAUCACAUAUCUUUGAAACGAGAGAUUUUUUUGACCGCUAAUUUGAGCUAUUCAAACAAUUUUAAAAAAAUCAUACUUUGGAAACUCUUUUCUUUUAAAACUUUUGAUAUAAGGACAACAUCAAAUCAAUUUGGUACCAAUUUUUGGGGGUAAUGAGGGUGCUAACCAUUCCUCAUGCGUAACCGACUCCCGAACCCGUUUUUCUUUAUUUUACCUAAACCAAAUUUAUUUUCUCAUUGAAUAAAGCAUUUUAGUAGGUGACCCAAUCGCACCUAAAUAAAGAGAUUGGUGGCGACUCCACAUUUUUGUUUUCAAAAGUCGAUCCCCAUUACUUUCAAAAUAAAAAAGGGUUUCGACAAUGAGCAUUUUUUGUUUCCUGAAGAUGUUCUCGUACCUCACCUUUACUUCUUCGGAAUGGAAUUUAUUUUGUGAUUUUUCAAUUUGAAUCGUGAAACAUGUUCUUUUCUGAGACAUAUUGCAAUUAAUAAAAGCCUGAGACUUAAAUUAAAUGAAAAACCAACAUAAAUAGAAAUUCUCCAAAUUUUUUACGAAAUAUUCAACAUAGUUAAUUUUACUUAACAAAAAUAUUAAUAAAUAAAUUAAUGGAAAAAAAAAUUGAUAACAAGUUUAUUACUACCUUUGUAACAAACCAAUGAAAAAUUGUUAUAGGGUGUGGAGGAAAGGGUGUUGGGUUUAAGGGUAUAGGGGUGGUUGAUGGUGGCUUGGGCGGUAGUUGAAGGGUGCGGCAGCUUGGAGCAAGGUGCAACGGUUGACAGCUUAAGGGAGUUAGGGAUGUGUAGCUGAUGUUGGUUGGGGAGAGAAUGUGGCAGUGAUCUUUGGUUGAAGGAAGGGUGCAAUGCGCGAUGGUGGUAGGGAGCUAAGAAGGCCAAUAGUGUUGGGGAAUGAAAGUAAUGUGGUAUCUAUUGGAGAGGCAAAUGUGGUGUAUGGGCGGUGGUGGAGAGAAGAAGUAGAGGUGGAGAUGGAGAAAAGGUGGUAAAAUUUAAGGUGUUGGUAGGAAAGUUUUAAGAAAAUACAAACACUUAACAAUUAAAAUAUAAUUAAAAUAUGAUUAAUCCUAGUUCUAAACAAAUUUGAUAACAAUUAAUAUAUAAUAUAUAUGUAUAUAAUUAUAUAUUAUUAUCUUAUUAAAUAAAAAUAAUUUUUUUAUCUAUAACUGUUAAAAAUAUUUAUUUACAGAAAACACAACCAUUUAUUAAAAACAAAUAAAUUAAGUACCUGCAUUGAAAAAUAAAUUAAAAAGAAAACAAAAAAUUAACGUUUGGGGUCAAAAUUGAACCUUUAUUUAGCAAUUUAAAAUUUAUUUGUCUACUUAGAAAAUAUUUUCUCAAAAGGUUAUGUUAAAAUCAAUUAUCAGGAAAAUUUGGAGGGAUCACAAGCGAUCCCAUUUAAAUUCUAACCUCCUAGAGAGAAUUUCUUUUAAAAUAAUAAUCUAGAAAAUAUUGUCUAAGUCAAUUAUUUGAAAAAGAAAAUGAAAAAUUAAAGAUCCGAUAAAGUGAGCGAAGUUUUAUUCUGCUCAACUUUAUCACCAUAGUAAUGUUUAAGGCAUUGACCAUUAACAUUGAACUUAUGUCUCUUACCGUCAUGAAGUUCAACUACCCCGUUUGGAAAUACUUGAUGAAUAAUGGAUGGAUCAGACCAACGAGAUUUAACUUACCUCGGAAAAACUUUAAUAUGGAAUUGAACAACAAAACUUGCUGAUCACGUGAUUCGUAACAAGUAAUAAAUAUUUAUAAUGAAGAUCAAACCUAGACUAACUAUUAUCGCGAUGUAGGCAAGUGUACCUAUCGAACAGUAGUAUAGUUUUAGCAAAGACCGGAUUGUCGAACCUAAAGGAACUAAAAGUACUAGUAAUGACUAUCUUUUUAUUAUCUAGCCUAAGAAUAAAAGGGGUUUUAUUUGUUUUAAUUAACUAAUUAUCUAAACUAAGAACGCACGAGAAAAGAAUUGGGGAAUUACUUUUAGGAAAAUCGAUUGACUUGAGACAAUACCUAAGGAAAAAUCCACCUAGACUUUACUUAUUAUUCUGGCUCUGAAUCAGAAUAACCGAGACUUUUCUCUAAUUAACACUCUAGGGUUUCAUUAACUUGAUCUAUGGAUCCCCUUAUUAGGUUUUACCCUAAUCCGAAAAAAUCUUGUCACCCUAUUUCUAGGCGCGCAAACAACUCCACUUAAUUAUGACAAAAGUACUCUUAGAAAUGGUCUAUUCCUCCUUUGAAUAAGAGCAUGUCUUGAAUCAGUAUCCUGGGAUAUCAAAACAAGAAUUAAGAACACAUAAUUAAGAACAAGAUAAAUAUUUAUCAUACGAUUCAGAAAAUAAUAACAAGAUUCGUCUUAGGUUUAUUCCCCUUAGGUAUUUAGGGGAUUUAGUUCAUAACUAAAUAAGAAAACAUCUCAGAAGAAUAAAGAAUACAAAACAUAAAGAAAACCCAAAACUCCUAAUAGGAAAUUGAGGAGAGAUCUUCAGUCUUGAUGAUGAAUCCGGCUUCUGAGAUGGAUCAAUCGGCUUCCUUGGGGUAAUUCCUUACCCCCCUUCUCCGUCUCCCUUUUUCUCCUAUUCUAGGGUGUAUUUAUAGGAUUUGGAAUGCCUAGAAGCCCUCAAAAGUGGCCUUUUCCGAAUUGGACUUAACUUGGACUCGACAGGGACACGCUCGUGUGACACGCCCGUGUGCUAUUACUUCAGGCUGUGUUCGAGCCUGUUAGAAUGGCACGGGCGUGUUCUAUGCCCGUGUGAGUUGUGCUCCAAUUCUGCCAGAUUGACACGGCCGUGUGGUCUGUUCGUGUGAGGAGGUCCAGACCGUGUUGAUUUCGUACUUUGGUCUAUUUUUUCUGUUUUUGGCCUUUUUCUCGUUCCUUUCGGUCUCCUAUUCUCUCUUAAGUAUAAAACAUGAAAUUAAAGCAUUAGAAGCAUCUAAUUCACCAAUUCUAAUGAGAAAUCAUCCAUAAAAUGCAUUAAACAUGGGGUAAAAAUGUGUAUAAUUUACGGUUUAUCACUUGCUUAUCUACUUCAAACUCUAGAAAUCGGAUGUGUUUGUUAUGCCAUCUUUUUAUUCUCUUUUUAAACAACUUGGCAUUCUCAUAUGAAAACAUCCAAAAUUCUUCUAAUUCAUUGAGCUGAAGCAGUCGUUUCUCUCUAGCAAGCUCGAGAUCCAAGUUGAGUUGCUUGAGAGCUUAAUAAGCUUAAUGCUCUAACUCCAAGGGCAAAUGGCAGGCUUUCCCAAAGACUAAUCGAUAGGAGAACAUCCCUAAAGGUGUUUUUAAUGUUGUCUAGUAGUCCCAUAAAGCAUCAUCCAAUCUUCUAGACCAAUUUCGCUGGUUUGUAUGGACUACCUUCUCGAGUAUACCUUUUAUAUUUUUAUGCAGCAAUUCAGCUUGCCCAUUUGUCUAUGGAUGGUAAGCUGUGGCGAUCUUAUGCUUCACUCCAUGUUCAUCAAUUAACCAUUUCAACCAUUUCAUCAUUAAUGAUAGCUCUUGGAGUUUCAAACCUUUAUGAACAUGUUUUUGAAAAAAACGCAUCACUAUCUUGACAUUGCUCAUCAAAUACGCCUCAGCCUCAAUCCAUUUAGACACAUAGUAUACCGCUACUAGAAUGUACGUGUUACCAUAAUGAGGAAAAUGACUAAGAAAGUUAAUACCCCAAACAUCAAAUAAUUUUAUCUAAAAAAUGUUCGUCCAUGGCAUUUUGUUUCUAUUUGAUAUGUUUCCGACCCCUUGGCAUCGGUCACAACUCCAUACAUAAGCAUAUGCAUCUUUGAAUAAGAUCCGUCAAAAGAAUCCAGCUUGCAACACCUUGGUCGCAGUACAUGAACCUCCGAAGUGUCCCCCACUUGGAGACAAAUGAAAAUUAUGUAAAAUAUCAUUUACUUCAUUUCCUACCACACAUCUCCUGAUCAUUUGAUUUAUGCACUGUUUGAAUAUGUAUGACUCCUCCCAAAAGUAGUACUUCACAUCGUUAAAAACCUUUUUCAUUUUCUGGUAUGACUUAUCUGGCGACAUCACACCACAAACUAAAUAGUUAGCAUAAUCAGCAAACCAAGAGUAUUAUGAACGUUAUUUACCUUAAAUAAGUGCUCGUCCAAAAAUUUCUUCUUAAUAGCAACAAGAGGAAAUAUCUUUUAUUGCUACUCCAAUUUGGAUAAGUGAUCUACUACUUGGUUUUCUACCCAUAUCUGAUCUUGAAUUGUUAAAUCAAACUUGUGAAGUAAGAGUACGCACCAGAUCAACUUCAGCUUGGCAUCUUUCUUGGCAAGUAUUUUUGUAACACUCCUAACCCGUAUCCGUUGCCGGAAUAAGGUUAUGAGGUAUUACUUGACUGAACAAAACUUCUAUAAGGUCAAAGAUACUCAUUAUCAAAACAUAACCGAAUAUCUAAUAACAAAUUAACUACUGUCAAGUUAUAACUAAAACAUUUCACCACAUUAGUUCAAUUAUAAGGCUUCUCUAAACAAAAUGAGCAAGCCAUCUUCGCAUGGCUAUAAUGUAUACAAAGUCGAAAUAUCAUUCUACCUAUAGUCUAUCCUAUACAUGCCUUAAACCAUGAUGAUAUACAAUCUUCUCAACUCACAUAAUGACUCGAUAGUGUGAUGAUAUCUCCGGCCCUUCCAACUUGAGCUAAAGUAUAAACCUAUAAGAAAUGGAAAAGAGAACACGGAGUAAGCUUCAAUGCUUAGUAAGUUUUAAGCAAUGCAAACAAUUAAUUUACUUAUAGAUAGAUUAUUUCAAAUUUUCAAGAAAUCAUUCCUAGAUAAUUGCCAUUUUGGCCAAGCAUCCAUGAACAUAAUGCAUAUUUAGCAAAUUCACCUCACUUGAAUCUAAACUCAAUUAAAACCAAAUAUUGAAAUCACAAGUAAGAUCAUAAGAACUCGAAAAGCAUCUCAUUAACAAGUUUUAACCAUGUUUGCAAUAAAAUCACAAAUUCACUAAAGUUGUCUUCCUGAGCAACAGUCACUAAAUUAUUUAUAACUGGAGAUAAGAAACUCCAAAUCAAGUGACGUUAAUUUUCCCUGAAAAUAGACUUAUAUAUCUUCCAUCCAUCAAAUUUUCAGAAUUUUUGGUUUGACCAAUCAAUACCAUAUUUUUAUUGAAGUUUCCUCUGUUUCACUGUUUGACUAUUCUGACCACUCUUCACUACGAAUCAAUUUUCUCAUUAUACAGAAUUCAAAAUAUGUUAUCAUUUAUUUCAUUUGAAACUAGACUCAUUAAGGAGUCUAAGGAUAUAAAUUUUAUCUUAUAACCAUUUUUGUACCAUUUAUAAUGAUUUUCUAAAAACAAAACAGGGGACCUCGAAGUCAUUUUGACUCUAUUCCACGCCACUUCAAAUAUCUCAUUAUUGGCAAUUCUUUUGCUCACGGUUUCUUUUAUAAGAAACUAGACUCAUUAAGAUUUCAUACAUAAUUUAUUCAGAUUCUAACUCAACUCCCACAAUUUAUGGUGAUUUUACGAAAUCACAUUACUGUUGCUGUCCCAAGCAGAUUUAUUACCCAUUCUUGCAUUCAUAUUAUUUAACAUGUAUAUCACCAAAUCAAUCUCAUAUAACCUUUCACCAUAACCGAAUACACACAUACACAUAUGAGAUUUUCACAUAUACUUCUCAUUUCUCAAUCAUGAUUCAAUUCCGAUCAAUCUAACAUAUAAAAGUGUAUAAUACAUACCUGACCAACUUAAUGUAUUUGACAUAUUCAAUGGUAGUUUACUACGAACAUUCGAAAUCAUAAUCUUACUCCAAUCAUCGGCAUUAAGUCUGUUAGGUUUAAAACCCAAAUCCAAUCACCACCACAAAGCAUGCGGGACUUUAAGCCCGAAUAUAAUACCAGCACAAAGCCUACGGGACUUUAGCCCAGAUAUAACACCAGCACGAAUGCCUUCGGGGCUUAGCUCGGAUAUAACACCAGCACGAAUGCCUUCGAGGCUUAGCCCGGAUAUAACACCAGCACAUAUGCCUUCGGGGCUUAGCCCGGAUAUAACACCAGCACAAAUGCCUUCGAGACUUAGCCCAAAUAUAACACCAGUACGAAUGCCUUCGGGACUUAGCCCGGAUAUAACACCAGCACGAAUGCCUUUAGGACUUAGCCCGGAUAUAACACCAGCACAAAUGCCUUCGAGCCUUAGCCCGGAUAUAAUUCUCCAUUAUCAUGCACAUAUAUAUAUAUGUAUCAUAACACAUUAGCAUUUUAUUUGCAUUACUUGAACACAAGCACAACGUGCUUAUCAACCAUUCCACUUUCGGCUCAAUAGCCACAUACAAAGAACACGAUUUCGUUUCGCUAUCCAACAUGAUUUCUAUAACCAUUCGGCUACAAGUCAUAUACACAAAUUAUUUAUCCCACUACCUAAUUCAAGUAGAACCAAUAGGUCACAAUUUAUUUAUUAUGCUUAUAUACCAUGAUUUUAUCAAAUUAUAAGCUAAGUUUCAUUACUCAAAGACUUACCUUGGUAUAUUCAAACGGUUGUAGAUUGGCUACUCUAUUGCUUUCUCUUUUCCCCUAUCCAACUUUGAUCCUCCUUGCUCUUGAGCUUAAUAAAUGCAAGUAGAUUUGUUUAAUAUCUUAACCAAUAUUGUUUACUUAUUAUUCACAUUCGGCAAUCACAUAACAAAUUCAAUAUGUAUUAUAAUUUAUAAAUAUGCCAUGAUUCAAAUUUCGUACUUAUUUAUAACCAAAAAUGGCAAGAACUUAUCAAGCCACGAUAGUUACUUAUAACUCAAACUCAAAAUGAUCAUAAAACCCUAAUAACCGAUCAUUCAACUUAUACUAGUUUCGCAUACACAAGCAAAACUCACAUAGUUUAGCUUGUUUUCUUAUACACUAGUUUAACCACUACGAUUAUUACCAAAUAAAUCACAUUCAAUUAACACUACCCAUUUACAUAUACAUCAACUAUCAAAUUCUCACUCCUUAGCUAAUGUCGAAUGCUUAUAUAAGCCCUAAGUCAUCUUUACACAUUUAUCAACUUUCCAAUUCAACUUAAUACCAAAAAUUAAUGUCAUUUAAAUAGCCAACACCAAAACAUUUGUUCAAAAGGACCUAGCCGAACACCUCACUUAGUUAAAAGUUCCACACAAAACACUAGUAGCCAACUCAAUUUCAUCCUUAAUAUUUCUUAUAACAAAAUUUAUCAAAAUUCAAUAAGAAAUACAUUAAAUUCCAUGACCGAAUUUGCAUUUCACCAUAAUAGCCACUUGCCAUAAAACAAUUAAGCCACAAUCAUUUAAUUUACCUAGCUUAGACUUAGAUUAAUAAUUAUCUAAAUUAUUUAAACAUUCAACACAAACUCUUCUUUAAUUAAGCACAUAUUCGGCAAGGAAAAAUGGUAAAUUAGCAAACCUUAGUUUAACAUAUAAUUUGUUUAUAACACAUUUUAAGCAUUCUUUUCAUUCCGUCAACUCAAAACACAUACAUUACUCAAAUAUAACCAAGUUCAUAUUCGGCAAUAGCAUCCAACAUGAUAGCCGAUUCUUCCCACUUAGCAUCUAAUGCAUACAUAUGAUCAUUUGUUUGGCUCAAACGCCCAUCCACCAUGAUUCAUCCAAAUUAACAUGAAACAACAACCAUAUUCUUUAUUAACUACUAUGGCCGAAAGCUCUAUUCAUUCCCAAAAUAAAAAAUUUAACAUGGGUCAAAUAAAGAAGUUGGUAACUAACUCAAAAAUUAACUAAAAUUUCAAGAAUUAACAUAAACUUUUUACCUUAGUUUAAGCCUAGGAUGACCGAGUGGUGUUUCUCCCCUAUUCUUCCUUCACAUUCGGCUUAGAAGAAACAAAGAUGAACACUUUGUUUUCUUCACCCAUUUUCCCCCUUUUUUAAUUAUUAUUAUUCUAUAAUAUAAAGCCAUUUAAUUAGAAUAAUGCUAAUAGAAAAUUCAUAUAUUAUAUAUUAACUAGUAACAUGGCCGGCCACUAUCUAAAAUGGGUAAUUUGACAUGCAAAACCAUUCUUUUCAAUACAUGCAUUAAUAGACCAUUAUAAAAUUAACCUAUCACAUUUCAAAAGUGUCUCACAUAAGUCCUAUUUAAUAAAUUCACAUACAAAUGAUCAAAUCAAAGCACGAAACUUUUACACAUGCAUUAUCUCAUAUAAUAGACAUGGAAUUUAACAUUUAAUUAUUUUCAUGACUCAGUUUUGUGGUCCCGAAACCACUUCCUGACUAGGGUCAAAUUAGGGCUAUUACAACACUCUCCCCUUAGGGAUUUUUGUCCCCGAAAAUCUUAUCAAUAAAAAAAAAAGUUUCCAUUCUGAAAACGUUUUCAAAAAUUUCGGAAUCACAAAUUUCCAUUCAUCACAUGUAUCUCUUUUUACCAACAAUCUCUAAACUUUAAUUCACACUGACAGAUCACAUUGGCAGACUAUAUUAUAAAUAUCUCAACAACUUUGUCGAUCGGAAUUUUGUACAUACUAAACUGAAGACACAGAUUCUUCAUUGUUAAAAGAUCGAUCAUGACCCAAUGAUAUUUCUUUUUCAGGAGACAAAUAAAUUUUUUUAUUUGGUUUGGAUAUGAAUUCUGUCUCAUAACCACUUCUAUAACAUCACUUAUUGCUUUUAUUCCAUGGUUCAAGAAACAUUCAAAUUUUUCCCUCGAAUACUCGAAACUGUCAAAUAUGCAACACUGACACAACCACAAUCAUCUCUAAACAUCAGCUGAAUAGUUCUUUUUAUAAUAACUUUAACAUUUGUCUCUAAAUCUUUAACAAAUUCAAUCAUGCAUAUUGUAACACCCCAAACCCAGCCCAGACGUUAUGACCGGAUCCGACAUGCCACAUCGAAGUGUUCAAAACAUUUUAUAUUGUUGAUCCAGAAAAACUUACUUAGUGUUUUAAAAGAUAAUUUCAUUAUAGGUUAAAGUGAAUGGAAGCUGUGAACCAGGUAGGAAACCGGAAAAAGAGGUGCUGAGUCCAUCGGACUGCUUAAGUACCAAGCUCCCUCCGGAUCCAAUCCUAGACAUGCAUACCGCCAUUGCCACACCUUAACGUCAUGGAUAUUUCUAGGAAACCAAUUUGAUUAAGUCAUUUUUAGGAAAAGUGAUUAAUUUUGGAAAAUAUUUUGAUUGCGGAAGCUUUGCUUGUUGUCGUGUUAUUUUGAAAUCAAUUUUUGUCUUUGAAAACGCGCCCUAAAGCUAUCCAAUUUCAACAGUUAAAAUAAGUAAUACCUAUCUUAGUAAUACAUAUUAAAACCAUCAAAAAUAAUUAAGCGGCCUUAUUACAUUUAAAAACCCAAAACUUCAAACUUAAAUAAAAGGAUGUCCAGUUCACCAGAAGAAAAUCAAACUUUUAGAACGGGUGGCCACUCCGAAUUCCCUCACAGCUCCAAGCCCACUAUGGUUGGGGAUUACCUGCGUGGAUGAAAAUAAAAGGGGUGAGUUUGGGGAAACUCAGUGUGUAAAUUAACCCAACCAUAGCCUAUAUCAGCUCAAACCACAGAAAUAGAAUAAGUUGGCUUUAGCCCAGAAUAGAAAUUCAGAAUAAAGCCCAUAGGCCCAUAAUAGAACAGAACAUAUAUUACAUGUUUAUGCAGAAACCCAACCCAGAUUCAUCCAUAACACCCCGUACCAACCUUACAUUGUGUGGGGAGACAACUUGACCCACCUAACCCCUACACACCACAGAAUUUGCAGCAUGGCUGCCAGAAUAGAUAAUGUGACAGAGUCACCAGAUACAAAUAAUCGUGGCAGAGCCACCAGAACAGAUAUAUGUGGCAGAGCCGCCAGAUCAGAUAAUCAUGGCAUAGCCACCAGAAGAGAUAUAUGUGGCAGAGCCACCAGAUCAGAUAAUUGUGGCAUAGCCACCAGGACGCUUCCUCCAUAAUAUAACCCAUGUCCCCAUGCAACAGAUAUAUAAUCAUGGCAUACAUCAUACAGAAUCAGAUCGUCAUGCUUUUCAAUCAAAAUUAACCCUAGGGGUAUAACGGUAAUUUUGCUCCUAGUGGUCUUAUAGUAAUUUAGCUACUUUUAGGGUUUUCAUGCAUAUCCUAACUAUUUACGUACUAUCAGAACACUUAUUGCGCAUACUUACCAAAUUGGGCCUGUUGGCCCAUGAACCCGAUCUUUGGCCCAUUAAGCCCAAAUUAUCAAAAUGUACGAAAUCGCGCGUACUGCAGUUUAUUACUUUAGAUUACCAAAUAUACAAACCCAACUAUCUUACGAGCAUUCGCACACUCGCAAAUUCCCAAAAUAUCAAAUUUUCGGCAUUUCGGCUUUUCGGCUUUUGCCAAUCUAGUCUAUGAGAGGGUGUCAGUUACACACCUGUUUGCGACGAUAUGCUGACGAGAUCCACACACGAACUGCCUACAAUUGGAUUACUAACACGUUAAUCUAACUAUUCAAAUAUGAACUACGUAUUAACCCCUUACAAUAUUCGGCCAACCACACCUACAGAUCAUAGUAAGCUUAUAAGAAAUCAAUAAGCAACUCAUUAACAAAUUUGUGUCAAUGUUUACCACAUAAUCAUAAUUUCACUGCAAGCUAUCUUCCUGAGCAAUAGUCACUAAAUCAUUUAUAACUGGAGCUACGAAACUCCAAAUCAAGUGCCGUUAAUUUUUCCUGAAAAUAUACUCAUAUAUCUUCUAUCCAUAAAAUUUUUAUAAUUUUUUGUUAGGCCAAUCAAUACCAGAUUUUUCUUAAAGUUUCCCAUGUUUCACUGUUUGACUAAUCUGACAACUCUUCAUUACGAAUCAAAUUUCUCAUUGUACAGAAUUAAAAAUAUGUUCUCGUUUAUUUCAUUUGAAACUAGACUCAUUAAGCUUUAAUUAUAUAAUUUAUUCAGCUUCUAACUCAUCUCCCACAAUUUAUGGCGAUUUUGGAAAGUCACGUUACUGCUGCUGUCCCAAGCAGAUUUAUUACCAAAUCACUCUUUCACACCUAACUUGCAUGCUUGUUAUUUAAACAUGUAUAUCACCAAUCAAUCAUCACAUAUCUAUGAUUUUAUUUAAGUAUAAUCUCCAUUUCAUCAUUUUAAAGCACAACAUGUUAGCCGAUUUUUCACCUUAGCAUCUAAGGCACAUGCAUGCUCAUUUGUUUGGCUCAACUUCUCCUAUCUUCCAUUUUUCAUCAAAAGAACAUGAAACAACAACCAUUUCCUUCAUUUUAAUUCAUGACUAAAUGCUCACAACACAACUAAAAACCAAGAUAUGCUUCAAGAGUUAAGGUAGAAUCAAGAAGAACUCAUGAACAUCAAGAUAGAAGCAAACUGCCAUUAACUUACCUUCAAUUUUCUUCCCUAAGUGAUCGAACAUUCAAGAGCUUUCUCCUCUCCUUUCUCUUCUCUAACUUUCGGCUAUGAUGAACAAAGAUGGACAAACUUUGUUCUUUUCACCCCUUUUUCUUUUAAUAAAUUUUCAUAUUUCAUCAAUUUAAUUCUUUAAUACAAAAGUCAUGAAAUGCCCAUCAUGGAAAAUUUACCUAAACCAUUAUCAUGGAACAUUUACCUAACCCAUUAUCAUGGAAUAUUUACCUAAUCCAUUAUCAUGGAACAUUUACCUAACCUAUUAUCAAUUUGUACCAUGAAUUAUGGAUAUCAAGUGCUCAUAUUGUCUACAACAACAUGAUGGCUGGCCACUUCAUGUAAAAUGGGAGGUUUGUCAUGCAAAUCCUCCUAUUUUGCACUCCUAUUUAUUUGGCCACUUCAAUUUAGCCUAUAGCAUUUUCAAACAUUUUCACAUAGGUCCUAUUUCAUAAUUUCACCCCCUUUUUCUUAUGGAACAAAAAUUAACUAAAAUUGCCGGGUUCUAUCUUAAGCUUGGGCCUUCUAGAGGCCCACUAACAUAAUUAAACCUAUGCCAAUAUUCACAGAAUUCCCAAAAAUUGAGGCGUUACAACUCUACCCUUCUUAAAGAAAUUUCAUCCUCGAAAUUUACCUGAUCCAACUAGUUGAGGGUAUUGUUGACGCAUAGUCUCUUCUGAUUCCCAUGUAGCUUCUUCCCUUCCAUGAUUACGCCAAAGUACUUUCACUAACGGGACAGAUUUUCUUCUGAGAACCUUAACAUCUCGAGCCAAUAUUUGCACAGGCUCCUCCUCAAAGGUCAAAUCAGUCUGAACUUCAAUUUCUGCAACUGGCAGGACAUGAGCAGGGUCAGAACGAUAAUGCCUUAACAUGGAGACGUGAAAAACAUCGUGAAUCCUGUCUAACUCUGGAGGCAAUUCCAACUGAUAAGCCAUUGGGCCUACUCGCUUCAAAACCCGAUAAGGCCCAAUGAACCGCGGACUCAACUUGCCCUUCUUACCGAACCUUAAUAUCUUCUUCCAAGGAGAAACCUUUAAGAAGACCAUAUCACCUACUGAGUACUCAAUCUCUUUACGCUUCAAAUCUGCAUACGACUUUUGCCUAUCAGAUGUUUCUUUUAACCGGUCCCUAAUUAUUCUAACCUUAUCCUCAGUAUCAGCUACCAACUCUGGUCCAAGAAUUUGUCGCUCUCCUAGUUCAGUCCAACAACUAGGGGUACGACACCUUCGUCCAUACAGUGCUUCAUACGGUGCCAGUCGAAUACUCGCCUGGUAACUGUUAUUGUAUGCAAAUUCUGCCAACGGCAAGUAAUCCUCCCAACUACCUCGAAAGUCAAUCACGCAUCCCCUCAAUAUGUCCUCCAGAAUCUGAAUAACCCUUUCCGAUUGACCAUCAGCCUGGGGAUGGAAAGCCGUACUAAAAUUCAAUCGCGUCCCCAACGCCUCAUGCAACCUUUGCCAAAAUCGAGAUGUAAAUCUGGGAUCCCGAUCAGAAAUAAUUGAAACUGGGACUCCAUGAAGUCGCACAAUCUCCGCCACAUACAACUUGGCUAACUUUUGAAGUGAAAAGUCAGUACAAACAGGUAUGAAAUGGGCCGAUUUGGUCAACCUAUCCACAAUCAACCACACCGAGUCUAUCUUCGAUGGUGUCAAGGGCAGCCCACUCACAAAGUCCAUGGUUAGCCUCUCCCACUUCCAAAGUGGUAUCUUCACUGGCUGUAACAGUCCAGAAGGUAAUUGAUGCUCAGCUUUCACUUGCUGGCAUGUCAGACAUUUCCCUACAAACUCCGUUACUUCUCGUUUAAGUCCAGGCCACUAGUACAAUUCUCGCAAGUCGUGAUACAACUUGUUCCCUCCAAGAUGCAUGGCACAAAGUCCUCCAUGAGCUUCCUUUAAUAUUGUCUGCCUCAAAUCAGAGUCCUUUAAAACAUAAAUUCUUCCUCGGAAACACAGAACUCCUUCGCCAUCUAACCCAAACUCAGAAGUUUCCCCUUCCUUAACUUGUUGGAAACUAGCGACCAAAGACUCAUCGUCUUACUACUUUUCCUUAAUCUGAUCCACCCAGGUUGGCCUCACUUGCAACUUAGCCAACAGACUUCUAUCAUCAUACAGACUCAGACGAGCAAACAUUGCUCUCAGAUCAGAUACAGUUCUACGACUUAGAGCAUCGACUACCACAUUAGCCUUGCCUGGGUGAUACUCGAUCGAAUAGUCAUAAUCCUUAAGUAACUCAAUCAAUCUCCUCUGCCUAAGGUUCAGCUCCUUCUGAGUCAACAAAUACUUAAGACUCUUAUGGUCAGUGUAUAUAAUACACCUUUCUCCGUACAAGUAAUGUCUCCAAAUCUUAAGUGCAAAUAUCACUGCUACCAACUCUAAAUCAUGAGUAAGAUAGUUCCCUUCGUGAGGUUUAAGCUGUCGUGAUGCAUAUGCAACCACCUUACCCUCAUGCAUUAACACACAGCCCAAACCCACGUGUGAUGUGUCACUGUACACAGUAAAAUCCUUCCCAGACUCCGGCUGAAUUAACACAGGUACUUCAGUCAGAACUUUCUUCAACUUCUCAAAAGCUUCCUGCUGCUUCUUAGUCCAUACAAAUGGUACUCCUUUCCUUAUGAGUUUUAUCAAAGGUGCUGCCAUCACAGAAAAACCUUCCAUAAACCUUCUGUAGUAUCCUGCCAGUCCUAGGAAACUCUGUAUUUCCGACACUGACCUAGGCGGCUUCCACUCCAAAAUCACUUCAAUUUUUCGAGGGUCCACCUUAAUCCCCUCAGUAGAGACCGCAUGUCCUAUGAAGGUUACCUCCCUCAACCAAAGUUUAGACUUGCUGAACUUCACAAAGAGUUCCUUCUCCCUUAACACUCGCAGCACUAUACGGAGAUGCUCAUCAUGUUUCGCUUCAGUUUCAGAAUAUACCAGGAUAUCGUUAAUAAAGACGACUACGAACUGAUCAAAAAAUGGUUGGAACACACGAUUCAUCAGAUCCAUAAAUGCUGUAGGAGCGUUCCUCAGUCCAAAUGGCAUAACCAGAAACUCGUAAUGACCAUACCGAGUCUUGAAUACCGUCUUAUGGAUAUCUGCCUCCUUGACUCUUAACUGAUGAUAUCUAGAUCGAAGGUCGAUCUUGGAAAAUACAGAAGCUCCUCUAAGCUGGUCGAACAGAUCGUCAAUCCUUGGCAGUGGAUACUUAUUCUUAAUCGUUAGUUUGUUCAACUGGCGAUAAUCAAUGCACAUCCACAUCAUACCAUCCUUGUUUUUCACGAAUAGCACCGGUGCUCCCCAUGGAGACACGCUUGGCCUAAUAAAGCCCCUAUCCAACAACUCUUGAAUUUGAGCCUUUAACUCCACUAACUCCUUCGGUGCCAUCCUCUACGGUGCGAUGGACACAGGCGCCGUUCUAGGCAACAAAUCUAUUCCAAACUCAACUUCUCGGUUCGCAGGCAAUCUUGGAAGCUCCUCCUGAAAAACAUCUUGGAACUCCUUUACGGUCCUAACCUUAUCCACUGUCAGUCCCUCCUCUUUCGACUAACUUACAAAUGCCAAAUAGGCCUCACAACCUAUAUUCUGCCACAUUCGGGGCUAUACCAGACACGCCCCUAAAGAUCUUCGCUCCAUUAGCCCGAAGUCAUUCAGAAAUAGAUCCUUAAAUUCUGUUGCCCGUACUUGCCCCGGCAACCCUUUCCAAAGCACGAAGCAUUUCCUGUGACAAGGCAUCAUCCUCGGCACCACGGUCAUGAGACUCUACCUCUGUUACCGGUGGUAUCGGUGCAUCCACCACCGGCAUAUGUCCCGAAGAUGAAGAUCUCGCUCGAGCACUUCCUCAGCCCCGUCUACGGCCUCUUCCACGAGCGGCUCUUGUACUCAUAUCGUAUUAUCCGAUUACGAAUUUUUAUGCAUUAAUUCAAUAUUCCAGUGUUUAUUACGGAUGUUUUAUGAAUCAGACAGUAAUUCAGAGUUUGUUCUCGCAGAAUCAAAGUCUAGCUACAGUUUCAGUCUCUUAUCAAAUUUUUCUAUGGUUUCAGUAUCAUCCUAUCUAGAGUAUCCUAGCAGGAUUUUAGUACAGACAGAUAAUUCAGGAAAAUAUUCAGAAAAAUUCAGAAUACUUACAUACUUGAGCCGGAGAUUCGGAAUGCCACAAUCUAAAGAUCUAAAUUUUGAAAAUCAAGUUUAUCGCAUUCUUUAUAAAAUUUUUGCUUUCGAAAAUCUUUGUUUUUGUAAACCCAUUCCACAGCUGAGUUGUUGCAACCUAGGCUCUCAUACCACUAAAUGUAGCAUCCCAAACCCGGCCCAGACGUUAUGACCGGAUCCGACAUGCCACAUCGAAGCGUCCAAAACAUUUUAUAUUGUUGAUCCAGAAAAACUUACUUAGUGUUUUAAAAGAUAAUUUCAUUAUAGGUUAAAGUGAAUGGAAGCUGUGAACCAGGUAGGAAACCGGAAAAAGAGGUGCUGAGUCCAUCGGACUGCUUAAGUACCAAGCUCCCUUCGGAUCCAAUCCUAGACAUGCAUACUGCCAUUGCCACACAUUAACGUCAUGGAUAUUUCUAGGAAACCGAUUUGGUUAAGUCAUUUUUAGGAAAAGUGAUUAAUUUUGGAAAAUACUUUGAUUGCGGAAGCUUUGCUUGUUGCCGUGUUAUUUUGAAAUCAAUUGUUAUCUUUGAAAACGCGCCCUAAAGCUAUCCAAUUUUAACAGUUAAAAUAAGUAAUACCUAUCUUAGUAAUACAUAUUAAAACCAUCAAAAAUAAUUAAGCGGCCUUAUUACAUUUAAAAACCCAAAACUUCAAACGUAAAUAAAAUGAUGUCCAGUUCACCAGAAGAAAAUCAAACUUUUAGAACGGGUGGCCACUCCGAAUUCCCUAAUAGUUCCAAGUCCACUAUGGUUGGGGAUUACCUGCGUGGAUGAAAAUAAAAGGGGUGAGUUUGGGGAAACACAGUGUGUAAAUUAACCCAACCAUAGCCUAUAUCAGCUCAAACCACAAAAACAGAAUAAGUUGGCUUUAGCCCAGAACAGAAAUUCAGAAUAAAGCCCAUAGGCCCAUAACAGAACAGAACAUAUAAUACAUGUUUAUGCAGAAACCCAACCCAGAUUCAUCCAUAACACCCCCGUACCAACCUUACACCGUGUGGGGAGACAACUCGACCCACCCAAUCGCUACACACCACAGAAUUUGCAGCAUGGCUGCCAGAACAGAUAAUGUGACAGAGUCACCAGAUACAGAUAAUCGUGGCAGAGUCACCAGAUACAGAUAAUCGUGGCAGAGCCACCAGAACAGAUAUAUGUGUCAAAGCCACCAGAUCAGAUAAUCAUGGCAAAGCCACCAGAACAAAUAUAUGUGGCAGAGCCACCAGAUCAGAUAAUUGUGGCAUAGCCACCAAGACGCUUCCUCCAUAAUAUAACCCAUGUCCCCAUGCAACAAAUAUAUAAUCAUGACAUACAUCAUACAGAAUCAGAUCGUCAUACUUUUCAGUCAAAAUUAACCCUAGGGGUAUAACGGUAAUUUUGCUCCUAGGGGUAUAACAGUAAUUUUCCAUACAUAGGGGUAUUAUAGUAAUUUAGCUACUUUUAGGGUUUUCAUGCAUAUCCUAACUAUUUACGUACUAUCAGAACACUUACCGCGCAUACUUACCGAAUUGGGCCCAUUGGCCCAUGAACCCUAUCUUUGGCCCAUUAAGCCCAAAUUAUCAAAAUGUACGAAAUCGCGCGUACUGCAGUUUAUUACUUUAGAUUACCAAAUAUAUAAACCCAACUAUCUUACGAGCAUUCGCACACUCACAAAUUCCCAAAAUACCGACUUUUUAGCAUUUCGGCAUUUCGGCUUUUGCCAAUCUAGUCUAUGAGAGGGUGUCAGUUACACACCUGUUUGCGACAAUAUGCUGACGAGAUCCACACACGAACUGCCUACAAUUGGAUUACUAACACGUUAAUCUAACUAUUCAAAUACGAACUAUGUAUUAACCCCUUACAAUAUUCGGCCAACCACACCUACAAAUCAUAGUAGGCUUAUAAGAAAUCAAUAAGCAACUCAUUAACAAAUUUUUGUCAAUGUUUAGCACAUAAUCAUAAUUUCACUCCAAGCUGUCUUCCUGAGCAACAGUCACUAAAUCAUUUAUAACUAGAGCUACGAAACUCCAAAUCAAGUGCCAUUAAUUUUCCCUGAAAACAGACUCAUAUAUAUUCUAUCCAUAAAAUUUUCAGAAUUUUUGGUUUGACCAAUCAAUACCAGAUUUUUCUUAAAGUUUCCCAUGUUUCACUGUUUAACUAAUCUGACAACUCUUCAUUACGAAUCAAAUUUCUCAUUGUACAGAAUUAAAAAUAUGUUCUCGUUUAUUUCAUUUGAAACUAGACUCAUUAAGCUUUAAUUAUAUAAUUUAUGCAGCUUCUAACUCAUCUCCCACAAUUUAUGGUGAUUUUCUAAAGUCACGAUACUGCUGCUGUCCCAAGCAGAUUUAUUACCAAAUCACUCUUUCACACCUAACUUGCAUGCUUGUUAUUUAAACAUGUAUAUCACCAAUCAAUCAUUACAUAUCUAUGAUUUUAUUUAAGUAUAAUCUCCAUUUCAUCAUUUUAAAGCACAACAUGUUAGCCGAUUUUUCCCCUUAGCAUCUAAGGCACAUGAAUGCUCAUUUGUUUGGCUUAACUUUACCUAUCUUCCAUUUUUCAUCAAAAGAACAUGAAACAAAAACCAUUUCCUUCAUUUUAAUUCAUGACUAAAUGCUCACAACACAACUAAAAACCAAAAUAUGCUUCAAGAGUUAAGGUAGAAUCAAGAAGAACUCAUGAACAUCAAGAUAGAAGCACACUACCAUGAACUUACCUUCAAUUUUCUUCCCCAAGUGACCGAACAUUCAAGAGCUUUCUCCUCUCCUUUCUCUUCUCUAACUUUCGGCUAUGAUGAACAAAGAUGGACAAAACUUUGUUCUUUUCACCCCUUUUUCUUUUAAUAAAAUUUCAUAUUUCAUCAAUUUAAUUCUUUAAUACAAAAGUCAUGAAAUGCCCAUCAUGGAACAUUUACCUAACCCAUUAUCAUGGAAUAUUUACCUAAUCCAUUAUCAUGGAAUAUUUACCUAACCCAUUAUCAUGGAACAUUUACCUAACCCAUUAUCAUGGAAUAUUUACCUAAUCCAUUAUCAUGGAACAUUUACCUAACCCAUUAUCAAUUUGUACCAUGAAUUAUGGAUAUCAAGUGCUCAUAUUGUCUACAACAACAUGAUGGCUGGCCACUUCAUGUAAAAUGGGAGGUUUGUCAUGCAAAUCCUCCUAUUUUGCACUCCUAUUUAUUUGGCCACUUCAAUUUAGCCUAUAGCAUUUUCAAACAUUUUCACAUAGGUCCUAUUUCAUAAUUUCACCCCCUUUUUCUUAUGGAACAAAAAUUAACUAAAAUUGCCGGGUUCUAUCUUAAGCUCGGGCCUUUUAGAGGCCCACUAACAUAAUUAAACCUAUGCCAACAUUCACAGAAUUCCCGAAAAUUGGGGCGUUACACAUAUAAUCCGAGUUAAACCACACAACUGAAUCAGUAUUGUCUAACAAAUAAUAACUUUUCAAGACCACUUUUCUUUGUGCCUGUCGUAACUCUUCAAAUAUACAUUCUAUUAGAUCUCCUCUAUAACAGAAAUAACACAUUCUUCAACAUUUUUAUAAGAUGGAAUGCAAAUCAAUAGAAACAGAAGAAUAACAUCAUAUGAAUUUAUCCCCAAAUUCAUUCCGAUCACACUACAAUAAAUUCUCAAACAGAGGAAUACGAUGAUAUCGAUUAUAAACCAAUCAAAAUAGCAAUACUUUUAUUAAACAUCGGAGUCAGAUAACAUUCUCACUUUAUAGCAUUUUCAUCAGAAAAAGGAAUAAUCACACAUGUGUCCCUGAGAAUAAGAAAUAUACAGAAUAUUCAAAAGAAAUCAUCUAAAUUCACUUGACUGUAAUUAUCCAAUUCAGACACUCUUACUAUUCAUUCGUCAUUUCGAAUGCCAUUCUAUUUCAUUCACUAAUGAAAACCACUUAGGAAGAAUUCCCAACAGAUACAUACUUAUACAUCAUAUCUGAUUGAAUUAAAUUACCAGACCAACUUUCUUUUACUAAUGACAAUAUUCAAUCUGAAGAACCUUCGGGACAUUGUACAAGUCCUUCCAGCCUUAAUUCAUUGCCAAAUCGUUCUAAAAUUUGCUUACUUAAUCAUUAUCUCACUAUUUAACUCUUUAAUCUUUCUUUGCAAACUCGUUCUAUUUUGUUCCAUUGAAACCUUAUAAUCAUAUCACUGGUAAGGGGGUGAGGUCGUUAAGCCUCGAAAGGGAGUUUCAUAUUCGAAUACACAGAUAAAUUCAUCUCUCAUCAUCAGAGUAUUACACACUUUGAUUC
rnacentral:lncRNA from 1 species